UGAAGGAGAGAUCGCAAGGUCCAUCGGUCUAUUAAAAGAGCUUCAUGUGCUCAACUUGUCUAACAAUGCUUUCACUGGCCACAUCCCUUCAUCUAUGGGAAACCUGACGGCUCUUGAGUCACUAGACGUUUCCCAAAACCAGCUUUCAGGAGAAAUUCCGCUAGAGCUAGGGGAACUCUCAUUCCUUUCCUACAUGAACUUCUCUCAUAACAAGCUCACAGGUCUAGUACCAGGCGGUACUCAGUUUCGAAGGGUGAAUUGCACUUCCUUUGAGGAUAAUCCGGGACUUUUUGGCCCUUCUCUUGACGAAGUUUGCAGAGAUAUCCACAUGCCAACACCGCAUGAAACACCAGAAUCAGAGGAAGAAGAAGAGGAAGAGGUGUUGAGUUGGAUAGCAGCUGUAAUAGGAGUCAUACCUGGUAUUGCCUUUGGAUGGGUGAUUGGAUACAUACUUUUUUCCUACAAACCAGAGUGGUUCAUCAACCCUUUUGUCCGAAACAAACGCAGACGCAACCGCACCACAACUCAUUAAAAAGGUAAUUUUCAAGAGUUUUAAAUCAACUUGUUAGCAAACACUGGAAGAAACAAAAAUAUUAUAGUCAAAUCACCUGAAUAAGCCUUCUUCUUCUUUUUUUGUACAGAUCUUUUAUAGCCUGCCUGAGGAAUCUGAAAGAAGAAAUACAAAGGAACCACUAUGUCUAUCCGUAUCAAAUAAGAUUUGGGGUAUCGUUUCCCUGUUCUUUUUGCUCUUUCAUUUUUGAUAUCCAAGAAAAAUUAUAAAGAAGAAUGAAAGGUUUUUGGAACUUAACGAGUACCAUUUCUCUUCCUAUACUUUUCUUAUUCGGCUACAAUUAUGAGGACGUGUAUGCAGUUCCUACCACGUGCUUAUGUCAUCCGGAACAAAGGGAUGCACUUCUUCAGUUGAAGAACGAGUUUGAGGUUCUAAACUCUUCCUUUGAUUAUGAUUAUUGCAUUAUUUAUGAUAUUAAACCUCAUCGGAAGACAGAGUCAUGGGUGAAUAACAACGACUGCUGUACUUGGGAUGGUAUCAUGUGCAACCCCAAGUCUGGUGACGUGAUCGAGCUAGACCUUGGUUGCAGCAACCUACGUGGCUGGUUUCGUUCCAAUAGCAGUCUGCAAAACCUUCAUUCUCUAACCACCCUAAACCUUUCACUUAAUGAUUUUAGUGGUCAAAUCAUGUCUUCAAUUGGAAACCUUUCUCAUCUCACCUCUCUCGACAUUUCUUGGAAUAAUUUCAGCGGGUUCAUUCCUUCUUCGAUUGGAAGCCUGUCUCAUCUCACCUAUCUUGACAUUUCUUCUAAUCAAAUUUCAGGUCGAUGUACAUGGGAUAUUACUUUUACCAUGAUUCAGUGGUUUUGAUGAAUAAAGGUUUAGAGAUAGAGCACUCGACUAUUCAGGAAACAAAUUUGAAGGAGACAUCCCAAGGUCCAUUGGUCUAUUGAAAGAGCUCCAUGUGCUCAACUUGCCCAACAAUGCUUUCACUGGCCACAUCCCUUCAUCUCUAGGAAACCUGACGGCUCUUGAGUCCCUUAACGUUUCCCAAAACCAGCUUUCAGGAGAAAUUCCGCAAGCGCUAGGGAGCCUCUCAUUCCUUUCGUACAUGAACUUCUCUCAUAACCAGCUUACUGGUCUAGUACCAGGAGGCACUCAGUUUCGAAGGCUCAACUGCACUUCCUUUGAGGAUAACAAGGGACUUUCUGGCCCUUCUCUUGACGAAAUUUGCAGAGAUAUUCACACGCCAACACCGCAUGAACUGUUGGAGUCAGAGGAAGAAGAAGAAGAAGAAGAGGAAGAGGUGUUGAGUUGGAUAGCAGCUGUCAUAGGAGUCAUACCUGGUAUGGCCUUUGGAUGGGUGAUUGGAUACAUACUUUUUUCUCGCAAACCAGAGUGGUUUAUGAACCCUUUUGUCCGAAACAAACGCAGACGCAGCAGCACCACAACUCAUUAAAAAGGUAAUCUUCCAGAGUUUUAAAUCAACUUGUUAGCAAACAUUGGAAGAAACAAAAUUAUUAUAGUCAAAUCACCUGAAUAAACCUUCUUCUUCUUAUUUUGUACAGGUCUUUUAUAUCCUACCCGAGUGGUUCAUGAACCCUUUUGCCCGAAACAAGCGCAGAAUCAGCAGCACCACAACUCAUUAAAAAGGUAAUUUUCCAGAGUUUUAAAUCAACUUGUUAGAAAACACUGGAAGAAACAAAAAUAUUAUAAUGAAAUCACCUGAGUUAACGUUUUCUUCUUUUUGGUACAGGUAUUUUAUACGCUACCUGAGGAAUCUGGAAGAAGAAAUCCAAAGGAACCACUAUGUCUAUCCGUAUCAAAUAAGAUUUGGGAUAUCGUUUCUAGUUUAGCUUGGUGUUUUCUCAUUACUCUAUUUUUACUUUUUUUAGCAAACUUCUUUGUUCCUCUGGUACUGUUUCCGUUUUAGCUUGGUGUGUUUUUUCUCUAUCUCUAUUUUUUUUUACGUUUUAUUAAACUUCUUUGUUUCUCUGUAAUUGAACAACUAUGUUUCUUACGCUGAAAAUUACAAGCACAGUCAAAGAUGUGUCGUCUUUUCCCCUCUUGUGCAUCUAAACGCCAACUGUUUAGACGUGAGAUGACCAUUGAACAGAUGAUCCAGAUCAACGCUAUAAACAACACAUGGCUUUAGAAAAGGAUAUACAUAUUAUAUAUGGAUAUUUCGAUUGUUCAUAUCAAUGAGACGCAUAAAUUCAUAGAAACUAUAGACUUUGCAAAUAUAAUUAUCAAGAUUCCAUUUUGUGUAUAUACAAAGUUCAAAAGGUUUAAAGCUUAUGAUUUUCGAAUGUGACAAUACAAAAUAAAAAAGUUUGCAUUUUUUUUUUUUUUUUUUUUUUUUUUGAUAAUUCUGGUAUCUGGACAGUUACAUUCUUAACUAUCCCCGUAAGGGGUCUAGCGCCCCAACGGAAGAGAUGUUAAAUCCGCUGUGGCCGGGGAUGGAAGUGUUUGCAUUGAUUUAUCUUGUGAUUGGUAAUAUUCUCAUUGAUAAUGAAUGAUGAAUAGAAGAGGAAGAGAAAUGGCUAGUAAAGGGGUCUUGUUUUCUCCCUGUCCACACUCUCUUGUUUCUAAUUCAACCUUUGAUUGUUUGAUUAAAUAUGUAUAAUCUAAAUUAACAAUAACCAAAUAUAUAUAUACUCAACUAAAAUUUGGGUUAACGAUCAUUGUCCAUUUUAUAAGAAAAUUCCUCUUGGAUCUUUCGUUUUAUAUUUUUGUUGACUGACUUUUUUACCGAAUCCAAGUCUUGCUUCUCUUUGUUUUGAAGUCCACGAUCUCAAAAAGGAAACAGCCAACUGAUUGGUCACUUUCACAAUCCAUCUGGUACGUUAUCCUUUGAUUUUUCAACAUCUUUACUAUUAAACCAGGAUCUUAUUGUCCUUUUUACCUUACUCUAUCCUUUCUUUACUAACAUUGCAUGUUUCAUUAACGGUAAUCAAGUAAUAUUAAUAACACAUAUAUAUAUUGGACCAUUUUUUCAGGAUCCAGCCCACUGUCCACAUCAGAUCUCUUUUGGGUCAUUUGGGUCGAUUAAGAAAUCAGAUCCAAUUCUCACAUUUUUUUUUCCUUUCGGACAUUGAGUCCAAGUUCAAAUAAUUUUUUUUCAACUAUAAUUUUCUUAAUAUAAUUUAAGCAUUCAUAAAAAAAAUUGAUUUUUUCGUUGAAAAGUAUAAAUCUUUAUUAAAAGUAUAUAAUUAUUUGUAUUAAAAAUAUUAACCACAUAAUAAAAUUAACUUAUCAGAGUUAUACCAACUUAAUUCAUUAAAAAUAAAGUUUAAUUUUUUAAACAUAAAUAGUCAUUUAAAAUGAAACACGAUAAGUAAAGAUAAAAAGUUUAAGUCUUUUAUAAAAUAAAAUACAAAUAUAUGAAAUAUGACAUUUACUAAAUAUUUUGACCAUUGAAAAAAAAAGAAAAUAAACCCGCGCUUUGAAAGCGCGGGUCAAAAUCUAUUAUUAUUUUAUCUUAUUAAAACUGAAGUACAAAAUUGUAGUGUUUGGAGACUUGAAUAUGACUAUUCAAAAAUUUUGGAGUGUUUGGAAACAUGGAUUGUAGUCUUUUAAAAAAAAAAUUACUUUUGUCUGGAAACAAUGAUAGGAGUAUUAAGCAAAAAAGUAAUGGGUUUAUGUUAUUAAGAAAAAUUGAAAGUUCAUCAUAUUAUAAGAAACUAUAUAUCUGGACCAGUUUUAAAAUAUACGAAAAUUGGUCAAUCUAAUUGCAUAAAACUUUUUUUUCUAAACUAUCCAUAUAACAAAAUUUAAACUUUAUAUACAUAUUUCAAAUCAAAAUAACAAUUCAAAGUUGAUUUAUAUCAAAAACUGAUUGAAAAAUAUACGUAUAUUCAAAAAUGGAUUUUUACUAAACUGUUUUUCAAUAACCAUUAUAAAAAAAUGCUGUCAAAAUAUAUAAGAAAAAUAUAAUACAAAGCUCAAUUUGAAAUACCAACUCAAAUUAUGGUUUUUAUAUUUCAUAUUAAGUUUGUAAAAUAUAAUAUAUGUAAUUAUUUAUAUGAUGGUACGUAUAAAAUACUAUUAAUUAUAUGAUUACUUAUAUGAUGGUACGUAUAAAAUACGAUUAAUUAUAUGAUGACAAUAUACGAUAUAUAAUAAUGACUAAGGAUGGACUUUCGGGUAUCCAUACGGGUUUGGUUCUGAUCGGUUUGCGUUUCGGGUUUUCGGGGUCAAAGAUUUCAGCCCUAUUAGGAUGUUUCUAAAUUUUGGUUUGAGUUUGAUUCAGAUCUUUGAGGGUUUGGUUCGAGUUUGGAUAACUCAUUUAAAUUAUUUUUAAAGUUUUAAAUCAUUAUAUAUUUAAAUUUCUCAAAAUCGAUAAAUAAAAUAAUAUAUUAUCUAUAAAUUUGAAUAAUAUCAUUUUACCAAACCCUAAUAAUUACAUGAAAAACAAAUAUCAACAUAUUUUUCAAAAUAUACACCCGUGCAGGCGUGUAGAUCAAAAUCUAUAAUCAUUUAUUUUAACAAUAAGCCAAAUAAAUAUGUAGAUUGGAGAGGGAAUAAAACAAAGCCAAAGAAACACAUAGUUUACCAGAGACACUCUAUGUGUCGAAUUUAUUAUAAAUAAAGUUUUACUAAGAUAAAUACAUUCAAUAAUUACAAACAAAUAAUAUAUUUCAUAAAAGUGAAAAAUAAUAGCCGCGCUUUUGAAGCGCGGAUCAAAAUCUAGUUAUACUUGGAUAUGGGCAUCAAGUUUGAUGAUGAGAUUCAUGGUCUGUGGCUUCUCGGUACUUUACCGAGAGCCACUACAUGAUCAUGAUGUGUGUGACCUACGAGCUUGGACUCAAACCCACGAGCCAAUCAUGUGAUGAAUCGAUUUCCUUCUUUGAUAGUAGACUGUUAGAGGAAUCGAAGAAGAUGAGAUGAAACGAGAAAGAUGAAAAAUGAUUCUGUUAUUCAGUUACAGAGUUAGUUAAUCUGUUUAUAUAUUAUAGAGUAACCGGUUUAAUUACAUGGUUUAUACUAAAACAAUUAUACAAUCCCGGUUAACUCUAAUACCUCUCCUCAAAAUGGCAUGUAGAUUGAGCUAAAUGACAUCUUGUUCAGUAAGCUAUGGAAGAUUGCAGGAUAUAAGGGCUUGGUAAAGACAUCCGCUCUACGUUUGCUUAGCAGAAACAGAGACCUGAAGCAGCAGCUCUACGUUUGCCAAGCUUGGUGUGAAGGUUUAUGUCCUUAAUCAUCAAUUAUCUCUUGGUAUGCUUAACCAAAGAGUGAGGAAGUUGGUUUAGCCGGUUUAGGUAAUAACCAAGUCACAUGUAUGUCACGUGUGUAUUCUUUGUAAACGACUAAGAUAAAGUCGUCGUAUCUUCUUCUUCCUCAUUAACAGAAGAAACGAUCUGGGUGAUUAGAGCUGUAACAGAUGGUGAGUGAGAGCAGCAUUGUAGAGAGAGAUCAAGAGCUCGAGUUGGAGCUGUUCUAGUGGAUUGCUGGCUGAGCCCAGCCCCGGUGAGUAUAGCUCCUUCUCCACAUUGGAGGAGAGAGGUGAACACCGCGCAAACAAGAUUCUUGUGUCUCUUUUCUUUAUCGUUUCUAAUCUCUUCUUUCACACAAAAGAAUCCGAUCAACAAUGAGUAGUUAAGCGACUGAGAGUCUAAGGAGUGGAUUGAGCUUAGGGAUCUUCACACUUGAAUCUUUCAAGCUCCAUCUGCAUAUCCAUCAACAUGUUCAUCCGUUGCAACUCAAGCUCCUUUGCAGCUUCCAUCCUCUGCUUCUCCAACUCAACCAUCAUCCUCUGCUUCGCACCUUCCAUCCUCUCGUACACCUCCCCCAACUUCAAAAUCGCCCUCGCCAGCUCCCUAUACACGACGACCCUUCACACAGAUCUACAUCUCCUAAAUGACUAAAAGCUUUAGAACAAGCAAAUGUCUAUUUGGCUAAAUAUUGACUCUUUUUGAUUACUUCCGUUGUACAAAUUUCAUGUUUUGUCCUCAGUAUUUAGUUAUUUCACGAGCUAUUUUUAGUACUAACUUCACAUUCGAUUGAGUUUGUAAAGGUCUCAUUUAUUUUUCCUUUCUGUCUUCAACUUACUAAGCCAUAAUCACAGUGUUCUUGUAACGACCCGGUUCAUCAAAAUCGGUUUGGUUUGGUUUAAUUACAAUUUUAAUUAUAACUUAAACCAUCCUCCUUAAUUUUUGGUCAAAUCGUGCAAUUUAUAUAUCAUUGUACGCAUCUCCCUUCCUCUCAUUUGACCUAGCCGUAAUCACCAUCGCAGCCAUUCUUCAUCGCUAUCUUCUUCUUCAUAUUAACCAUCUCACGUCAUCUUCACGUUCUUCUCUCAUCACGUUGUUUUCGUGAGGAUGAAUUGAUAUGGAGUAUUGCCGUAUCACCUCCGAUCGUCACCACCGUUGCGCUUGUGAACUAAUCACCACCGUCCACCACCACCACCUCUCGUUGGUCAGCACCAGAAUCAUCAUGUUGACCCAAGGCAGAGCUGGAGAUUCCUUACCGUGUCGGAGCCACCGUUCAUAACAAACAAUCGCUCGUUUGAUCCAAGCUUGAUGGCGACUUGUUGUGUGUGCCAUCACCACCUCCACAUGUGUUACCACCGGAGUCGGCACAGCCUUGCCGUCAGAGAUCCAUCGCCAUUUCAUGUAGUCGUUUCGUACUAGGCUUGUGAUAUACGGAAAACGCGAUCAAGCCGAGAAGGAGGGGAACCGUGCGAAACUGGAGCCACAUUCUCUUCACCGACGACCACCGAUCUGGGCCGCCAUGAGCCGUUAGCCACCUGAGAGCUGAGCCGUGUCACUGGAGAUAUGGACUUCGAACUGUAGCUAUGUCCAAGAAGGUUAAGUGUAUCAUUAGUUGUUUCUUGUGAUACAAGGAACAUAUUUUAACAUGCACUUUUACCAUGGCAUGCGCAGGAAGCGAUCAUGGACCUUAUGGGGACUUGUUUGCCAAGCCAUUCCCUCUAAAGCCUAGAUGUUUGAUGAGGCAUAUCAGUUCCCGAGUAUGACCUGAUCAAUCUCCGAUCUUGGCUAAGGUGAGGGUCUAUUCCGUAAAUCCCGUACGAGUGUAGAAUUCUCUCUAUCGUAGUUUAUAUUUUGAAUCAUGAUCCGUCUGUUUGAAUUGAGUCUGUUUGAGUCUUGAUUGUUAGUCAGUUCAUUCAUAUAUAUAUCCGUAUGAGGAGAUGCGGGGUGUAUGGACUAGCUAUAUGCUAUCAUCGCAUUGUUUGUGUUGUGAUGCUUUAAGCAUCUUGUUUGUUCAUGUUAGAGCUAAACUUCCAUAGUGGAAGUUCUAUUUACUCAAGUCAGUGGUUUGCGUGUUUAGCAUCCCAUACCUCACGGAGUAACUCCCUGUUGCUCACCCCCAUCUUCUCAUUGCAGGUGAGCUUGCCGAGUAGUUGGAUAUCUGGACGGUUUGGUGUCUUGGAGAUCACAUAUUUUAUUCCGGUUUUACAUUCGAUUUAUUAGACGUAUUUUUAUAAAUCAAUUUGAAGAUGUAAUUCUUUUGUAUUUAUUUUAUUAAAUGCUUUGGUAUUUUAUUCGGUUUUGAAUAACUCGGUUUGAUUCGGUACUUUUCGGUAAGUAGCACGCCGGUCUCGAAAGAGGAGGAGACGGGUGUUACAGUUCUGCUAAUGAUUUCCUUAACCACAUCGUUUAUCAACAUGCCUUUAACUAAACAAGUUGGAAAUUAUAACCCUCUGAGCUAUCUAGAGGGUUACAUUUGACUUUUAAUGUUCUGAGCCAAUUUGAAUCUCCGAGCCCUAGAUAUCUUCAUUUCCGUCAAGGCUACGCAAGAUUGCUCUCCAGAGCCUCCUCGUGCCACCAAUGUAGUAAUCGAAGUUGUGUGAGAGCAAAAGCCCUCUCGAGAGCUGAGGUAUUGCUCUAUUCAGGAUGAUCGGCUCCUAUAUAUGUAUUUUAAGAUAAGUUUUGAUAAAAUUAUACAAAGCUCUUUUGAAUUUGGAUUAGGGCUAAUGUUUCAGUAGGCUUUGCUCCUGUUUCAACUCUAAUAUUAACAAUUCACUUGCUAUGUUUCAGAUGAGUUUGUUGUUUUCUUGAAGCUGUUUCUGCGCUUUGUAUACUUGUGUGCGAUCUUGUUUAAUAAGUUUGUAGAGUUGGACAUGAAUGUAAUGAUGCUCUUGUAGGCUAAAUCAUCAAGCGUUGAAGCAUCUAUGUAGUUUAUGGCUGUGACAACUCUGCUGAGGUUGACGUGGGGAUUGUAUUUACCGAAGUUCAAAAGACUUCCCACUCCUUUAAGUUCCUGUCUUUACUUUUCGACCCAUGACUGGCUUAAGUUUUCUUCUUGUAAAGAAGGUUUUCUCGGACUUUCUCUUGGUCUUCUCUCAAGCAAGUACACAAGCUGCCUACAGGGUUGCGUGGCCUUAACAUUAUAGAACCGUCUCUCUCUCUCAGUCUGCUUCGAAAUCAAUGAGGAGGGAAACUGGGACAUAGUAUGCUUUCUGCAUUGAAAGUAUACUAUUAAAUAUGACCAGAGAAAUUUCCACAUAUCAUGAACUUGAUAUCGAUUAGGAAAGUUUUAUCGCAAGUAUAAACAUAAGCAUAGUAAGUCUUUCGUAAGUAGUUGUUUGGUUUGGAAUUUUUUGUUUAAAAUUUUUCGUAAUUAAUUUAGGGUACCAAUAUGUGUGGAAAUUGAUAGUGGAUUUCGACGUGAUGUAUAAUGGAUUUUUCUGUGUAAUAAAUAGAUGGGUAUGGAAGCACGUUACUCAUCACCAAUUUCCUUGUUCUUUUUGCUCUUUCUUUAUUUCAUAUUCAAGAAAGAUAAAUUAGCUUAAAGAAGGAAUGAGAGGCUUUUGGAACUUAACGAGUACCAUUUCUCUUACUCUUUCUAUACUUUACUUAUUCGUUUACAAUGAUGAGGACGUGUCUGCGGUUCCUACUAGACACUUGUGUCGUCCUGAUCAAAGGGAUGCACUUCUCCAGUUCAAGAACGAGUUUGAGGUUCAAAACUCUUCCAUUUCUUAUUAUAGAUGUAUUUAUAGUGGUAUUAAACCUCAUGAGAAGACCGAGUCAUGGAUGAAUAACAGCGACUGCUGUAACUUGUUGGGUUCCUCCUAGAUGGAGGUAACCCAUUGGGUUUGGUUUUGACAACUAAACUUGGUGUUGGACAAUGGUAUUAGCCCAUGAAGUUAGUAUUGGGUCUUGGGAGUUAAUGACCCAUAAUGUAAGUCUCCUAACCUAAUUUGGAGAGUGGUUGCAGACACAACACGAACAGACAAGAUCAGACUCACAAUAAUAAAGUUUAGAGAGAGAGAGAAAGAGAAGAGAGAAAAGGAGAGAAGAAAACAGUUUUCGUCUCAGUUUGUCAAGACAUAUUUGGAGGGUCAAACGGAACUUGAUCGGGCUGAUAUUUUGUGGGAAGCUUCUUCAGUCAGUGGGUUAAAGGUUCACCGAAGGGAUUUGGAUUUCAACGGUUGGAUCUUCUGUUGUCUGGGUUUUAGUGAAGCUGGUCGUCACAGCUCUUCAGCAAGGCUGUUUUGGCUGUUUGGUAAAUCCAACGGUAAAAUAUUCUCUGAUUGAGCUGAAAUUUGGCAGAUGUAUUGUUGACUUGUUUAUCUUGGAUUUGUACGGUGAGAUUAGUCUCUGGUUUCCGGAAUCCUUAUGAGCUGAGGUCGUUUGGAUGCUGCCGGUUUUGAAGCUUUGUGUUGCUCUCUUGUUGUUGUUGUUUGUGUUGGAGAUAACUCUUUGAAGCUAGUGUCUCUGUUCUGUUCUGAUUGUUGAACAGGGAGGACGUGGUUGUACUCACAAACAUUUAUAUAGUGGAUUGUUGAGUGGACUACGGUCCCGUGGUUUUUUCUUCUCACAUCGAGGAGGUUUUCCACGUAAAAAGUGAUUGUCUCAUUUACGUUUCUGCUUAUACUAUAUUCUGCCAUCGUCAAAGUAAUUUCUUCACAGGUUCACACAAGGUCAGGGGAACACGACUUUGAGUAUUUCCGCUGCGCCGUGAGACUUUCCCCAACAGAGUGGUAUCAGAGCUUCUGGUUUUAGAGCUUUGGUUUUGAUAACUUUGGGUUAUUAUUUGCUUGUGUGAAAGAUGGAAAAUAUGAGCAGGAUGAUAAGCUUGAAUGGUGCUAACUAUCAUCUAUGGAAGGGCAAGAUGGAGGAUUUGCUCUUUGUUAAAGAAUUCCAUGUUCCAGUCUUCGAGGAGCAGAAACCUGAGAAGAAGACGGAUGAAGAGUGGAAGCUGCAGCAUCGCCAAGUGUGUGGGUUGAUAAGGCAGUGGGUAGAUGAUAAUGUGUUGCAUCAUAUUGAGACUGAGACGGAUGCUCGUUCUUUGUGGAAGAAGCUGGAGCAGUUAUAUGCUAGAAAGACCGGAAACAACAAGAUGUACAUGAUCAAGAAGUUGAUUGAGCUGAGGUAUCAGGAGGGGACUCCGAUGACAGAUCACUUGAAUGCGUUUCAGGGAUUGCUCAACAAGCUGUCUGAUAUGGGCAUCAGGUUUGAUGAUGAGAUUCACGGUCUGUGGCUUCUCGGUACUUUACCGGACUCUUGGGAGGUUUUCAGGAUGUCUCUUUGUAACUCCGCGUCGGAAGGUGUUAUUUCGAUGGAUUCAGUGAAGAACAGUGUUCUUAAUGAGGAAGCAAGAAGGCAGUCGAAUGCUAGCAGUUCGCGUUCAGAUGUCUUUGUUACUGAGUCAAGGGGGAGAAGUACAAGUAGAGAUCCCAAGAGAGACAAGAACAGGAGCAGGAGCAAGUCUAAUAGAUUUGCUAAUAUGGAGUGCUACUUCUGUCAUAAGAAAGGGCACAUGAAGAAGGAUUGCUGGAAGUUGAAAAACAAGCAGCAAGGAAAUCAAGAAGAAAAGGUGGAUCGGGUGACUCUCACCGAAGAUCAGUUUCUCAUUCUUCUUGAGGGUGAUGCCAUUAAUGUCGCAUGCCAGGACACCAGUUGGGUGAUUGACAGUGGAGCUACUACUCAUGCUACAUCACAGCGGGAUUUGUUUUCUACCUAUACUACGGGUAAUUAUGGUUCUGUGAAGAUGGGGAAUGAUGCGAUGGCUCAGGUUGCUGGCAUUGGUGAUAUAUGCUUGGAGACUAGUCUUGGGACUAGGUUGGUGCUUAAGGAUGUUAAGCAUGUUCCUGAUAUUAGGAUGAAUCUGAUAUCGACGGGAAGACUUGAUGAUGAGGGCUAUUUCAGUUUGCACGGUGGUGGUAAAUGGAAGCUCUCUCGCGGUUCUUUGAUUGUGGCUCGAGGUGAGAAGUCUUCAUCUUUCUAUUGGAUGCAGGCUAAGGUCUCCAAAGAUGUUGUUAAUGCGGUGGAGAAUGAUAAUGCCAUGGAGUUAUGGCAUAAGAGACUCGGUCACAUGAGUGAGAAGGGAAUGGCUGUGUUGUCUAAGAAUGAGGUGAUCUCAGGAAUCUCUGGUUUGCACAGUGUUCGCAUUGCUUUGCGGGAAAACAACACAGGGUAUCUUUCAAGUCUUCCGCACCUUCUAGGAAACCCGAGGUACUGGAUUUGGUACACUCAGAUGUGUGUGGUCCAAUGAAGACAAGAUCUCUUGGUGGCGCAUCAUAUUUUGUGACUUUUAUUGAUGAUCAUUCAAGGAAGUCGUGGGUAUUUCCUAUGAGGACGAAGGAUCAGGUGCUGGGAUAUUUCAAGCACUUUGUGGCAUUGGUUGAGAGACAAACGGGGAAGAAGCUGAAGUGUAUCCGCAGUGAUAAUGGUGGAGAGUAUCUUGGACCAUUUGAUGCUUAUUGCAAAGAGCAUGGAAUAAGGCAUCAGUUCACGCCACCUCAUACUCCACAGUUGAAUGGGUUGGCUGAAAGGAUGAAUCGGACGAUUGUCGAGAGGAUGAGAUGUUUGAUCUCACAGUCAGGCUUAUCGAUGACUUUCUGGGCAGAAGCUUUGAACACGGUGGUUCAUGUGCUGAAUUUGUCACCAAGUGCUCCAUUGGAUGGUGAUGUUCCAGAGAGGGUUUGGACUGGUAAGGAUGUUUCUUACAGUCACUUGAGGGUCUUUGGGUGUAAGGCAUUUGUUCAUAUUCCCAAGGUUGAUAGAUCGAAGCUUGAGAUGAAGUCGCGGCAGUGUGUGUUCAUCGGUUAUGGUCAUGAUGAGUUCGGGUACAGAUUUUAUGAUCCCGUUGAGAGGAAGCUCGUAAGGAGCAGAGAUGUUGUGUUUAUGGAAGAUCAAACGAUUAAGGACAUUGACAAGUCCAAAAAGCCAACUCAGAUUUUUGAGGGUUUGAUCGAUACAGAGGCUACUCCUUCUACAUCGGUUCACGGUGAGGUUGAGGUUGAGGUUCAGGAUAAUGCACCCAGUGCAGAUGCUCCCGCACAUGAAGAUGGUAGUGGUGAUCAUGGUGACGAUCAUGGUGAGACACCAGCUGCUGAGAACCAACCUACUAUUGUUAGAAGAUCCGAGAGAGGUCUUAAACCGUCGACAAGGUAUGAUCCUAGUGAGUAUGUAUUACUUACUGAUGGGGGAGAGCCUGAAAGCUAUGAUGAAGCUUUGGAGGAUGAACACAAGGAUAAGUGGUUUGGAGCCAUGGAUGAGGAGAUGGAUUCUUUUGAGGAGAACCAUACUUUUGAGUUGGUGGAAUUGCCUAAGGGCAAGAAGGCUCUGCUUAAUAAGUGGGUGUACAGAAUUAAGCAUGAGGAUGAAAAUUUGCCACCUCGACACAAGGCUAGAUUGGUUGUGAAAGGCUACAGCCAAAAGAAGGGAAUUGAUUAUGAUGAAAUCUUUUCUCCUGUUGUGAAGAUGUCAUCCAUUCGGGUUGUACUUGGAUUGGCAGCGAGCCUUGAUCUAGAGGUUGAGCAAAUGGACGUGAAGACUGCUUUCCUUCAUGGUAAUUUGGAGGAAGAGAUCUACAUGGAACAACCGGAAGGCUAUGUGCAAAAGGGCAAAGAAAAUUUGGUUUGCCGCUUGAAGAAAAGCCUUUAUGGAUUGAAGCAAGCACCAAGGCAGUGGUACAUGAAGUUCAAGUCUGUUAUGGGGGAGCAUGGUUAUGCAGAGACUGAUUCAGACCAUUGUGUAUUUGUGAAGGUGUUCGGUGAGGAUGAUUUUAUCAUCUUGUUGCUGUAUGUCGAUGAUAUGUUGAUUGUGGGCAGGAACAUGGACAGAAUUAAGGAGCUGAAAGAGCAGCUAGGUAUGUCCUUUGCCAUGAAAGAUAUGGGUCCAGCGAAACAGAUUCUCGGUAUGAGAAUUAUUCGAGAUAGAGGUGAGAAGCUGAUUCACUUAUCUCAGGAGAAGUACAUUGAAAAAGUACUUAAGCGGUUUCACAUGGACAAGUCUAAAGUGUUGAGUACUCCUCUUGCUCCACACUUAAGACUGAGCAGUCAACAAAGUCCGAAGACAUAUGCGGAGAAGGAAGAUAUGGCGAAGGUUCCAUAUGCUUCUGCAGUGGGUAGUUUGAUGUAUGCCAUGGUCUGUACAAGACCAGAUUUAGCCUACGCCGUUGGAGUUGUCAGCAGGUUUCUCUCCAAUCCGGGAAGAGAACAUUGGAAUGCUGUGAAGUGGAUUUUGAGAUAUCUCAGAGGGACUUCUGAUCUGAAGAUUACAUUUGGGGGUAAGAAGCCUUUGCUGGUCAGUUUCACUGAUUCUGACAUGUCUGGAGAUGUUGAUUCUAUCAAGUCUACUUCGGGUUACUUGAUAACAUUUUCGGGUGGAGCUGUGGCAUGGCAGUCAAGGCUGCAAAAGUGUGUUGCACUAUCUACCACUGAGGCAGAGUUCAUUGCCGCAACUGAAGCUUGUAAAGAAUUGUUGUGGAUGAAGAACUUCUGUGAAGAGAUCGGUUUCAAGCAAGAGAAGUAUGUGUUGCUUUGUGAUAGUCAAAGCGCUAUUUGUCUCGGGAAGAAUUCUACAUUUCAUUCGAAGUCAAAACACAUUCAGAGGAGGUAUGAUGUGGUUGCUUCUAAGGAAGUGGAACUUGAGAAAGUUCAUACGGAUGAUAAUGGAGCUGAUAUGAUGACGAAGUCAUUACCGAGGGGGAAGCUUGAAGUAUGCCGAGGGAUAGCCGGAAUGGCUGUUUCCUCCACCUAGUCGGAGGGGGAGUUUGUUGGGUUCCUCCUAGAUGGAGGUAACCCAUUGGGUUUGGUUUUGACAACCAAACUUGGUGUUGGGCAAUGGUAUUAGCCCAUGAGGUUAGUAUUGGGUCUUGGGAGUUAAUGACCCAUAAUGUAAGUCUCCUAACCUAAUUUGGAGAGUGGUUACAGACACAACACGAGCAGACAAGAACAGACUCACAAUAAUAGAGUUUAGAGAGAGAGAAAGAGAAGAGAGAAAAAGAGAGAAGAAAACAGUUUUCGUCUCAGUUUGUCAAGACAUAUUUGGAGGAUCAAACGGAACUUGAUCGGACUGAUAUUUUGUGGGAAGCUUCUUCAGUCAAUGGGUUAAAGGUUCACAGAAGGGAUUUGAAUUUCAACGGUUGGAUCUUCUGUUGUCUGGGUUUUAGUGAAACUGGUCGUCACAGCUCUUCAGCAAGGCUGUCUUGGCUGUUUGGUAAAUCCAACGGUAAAAUCUUCUCUGAUUGAGCUGAAAUUUGGCAGAUGUAUUGUUGACUUGUUUAUCUUGGAUUUGUACGGUGAGAUUAGUCUCUGGUUUCCGGAAUCCUUGUGAGCUGAGGUCGUUUGGAUGCUGCCGGUUUUGAAGCUUUGUGUUACUCUCUUGUUGUUGUUGUUUGUGUUGGAGAUAGCUCUUUGAAGCUAGUGUCUCUGUUCUGUUCUGGUUGUUGAACAGGGAGAACGUGGUUGUACUCACAAACAUUUAUAUAGUGGAUUGUUGAGUGGACUACGGUCCCGUGGUUUUUCCUUCUCACAUCGAGGAGGUUUUCCACGUAAAAAGUAGUGAUUGUCUCAUUUACAUUUCUGCUUAUACUAUAUUCUGCCAUCGUCGAAGUAUUUUCUUCACAGGUUCACACAAGGUCAGGGGAACACGAUCUUGAGUAUUUCCGCUGCGCCUUGAGACUUUCCCCAACAUAACUGGGAUGGUAUCACCUGGAACGGCAAGUCUAGUGAAGUGAUCGGGCUAGACCUUAGUUGCAGCUACCUAGGUGGCCAGUUUCAUUCCAAUAGCAGUCUUCAAAACCUUCAUUCUCUAACCACUCUUGACCUUACAGGAAAUCGUUUUAGUGGACAGAUCAUGUCUUCAAUUGGAAACUUUUCUCAUCUCACCUCUCUCAACCUUUCACAAAAUAAUUUCAGCGGGUUCAUUCCUUCUUCGAUAGUAGACCUUUCUUAUCUCAUCUUUCUUGAUUUUUCUAUUAAUAGUUUUUCGGGUCAGAUUCCAUCUUCGAUUGGAAAUCUUUCUCAUCUCACCUAUCUUGACCUUUCUUCUACUCAAAUUUUGGGUCAGAUUCUAUCUUCUAUUGGAAAUCUUUAUAAGAUCACUUAUCUUGACCUUUCUAACAACAAUAUUGUUGGUGAAAUCCCAUCUUCUUUUGGCUAUCUAAACCAGCUGACCAGCUUAUAUGUUGGUCUCAAUAGGCUCAAUGGAAGCUUUCCCAUUGCACUACUGAAUCUGACAGAGUUGUCAUCUUUAUCACUUAGCUACAACCAGUUCACAGGCAUAAUUCCUCAUAACAUCACUUCACUCUCCAGCCUUCUUCCCUCUUCACCCUUCCUUCUAUGGAUGUUGUUACUUUCUCUGAUAACCAACUCAACGGAACUCUUGAGUUUGGGAUUAUAUCUUCACCACCUAAGCUACAAGUGUUAGCCGUUGGCAGUAAUAACUUGAGAGGGCCAAUCCCAGAAACAAUAUCCAAAUUUACCAACCUUGAAGAACUUGACCUUUCCCAUUACAAUACACAAGGUCCAAUUGACUUUAGUAUCUUCUCACAUCUCAAGUUGCUCGAUUAUCUUGACCUAUCCCAUGUGAACACGACCACUACCAUUGACUUGAAUGAUUUCUUGUCAAAUUUUAGGAGGCUCGAUGGGUUGUUUCUCUCAGGCAACCAUGUUUCUGCCACAAACAAGAUUCCAGUUUCAGGUCCCCCAUUACUGCGUUAUUUGCACUUGUCAGGCUGCGGUAUGACCGAGUUUCCGGAGUUUGUAAGAAACCAACAAUAAAAUCAAAGGUCAAGUGCCUGGCUGGUUAUGGACGCUACCAAAUCUUACUUACCUGAAUCUUUCCAACAACACUUUCACCAGCUUUAAAAACUCAACGAAACAUGGGCUAUCUAUGAUAAACUUGUUAGCCUCCAACAACAAUUUCACGGGAAAUAUUCCAUCUUUCAUAUGUGGUUGGCGCAGUCUUGCCACUCUUGAUUUAUCAAACAACUACUUCAGUGGUUUAAUCCCUCUUUGGCUGGGAACUCUCAAGGAGGAAUUCCGGAGACUAUAUUUGAAAGCUUAAGAACGCUUGACGUUGGUCAUAACCAUCUGACCGGAAAACUUCCAAGAUCUUUGAUCCAUUUCUCUAGUCUUGAAGUUCUGAACAUGGAAAGCAACAUUAUCAAUGAUAUGUAUCCAUUUUGGUUGAGUUCUCUACCAGAGUUAAAAAUUCUUGUGUUACGUUCCAAUGUUUUCCAUGGACCGAUACAUCAAACUUCAUUUCCUAAGUUGCAAAUCAUCGACAUAUCUCACAAUCACUUCAAUGGAGCUUUGCCAUCAGACUUCUUUGUUAAGUGGAGUGCUAUGUCAUCACUUGGGACAGUUUAUGAUCAGCAGAACAAAAUGUACAUGGGGGAUUCCUAUUACCAUGAUUUAGUAGUUUUGAUGAAUAAAGGUUUAGAGAUGAAGCUACAGCAUAUCCUAAAGAUCUACACAGCACUCGACUUUUCAGGGAACAAACUUGAAGGAGAGAUCCCAAGGUCCAUCGGUCUACUAAAAGAGCUUCAUGUGCUCAACUUGUCGAACAAUGCUUUCACCGGCGUCAUCCCUUCAUCUAUGGGAAACCUGACAGCUCUUGAGUCACUAGACGUUUCCCAAAACCAGUUUUCAGGAGAAAUUUGCAAGAGCUAGGGAGCCUCUCAUUCCUUUCCUACAUGAACUUCUCUCAUAACCAGCUUACAGGUCUAGUACCAGGCGGCACUCAGUUUCGAAGGCUGAAUUGUACUUCCUUUGAUGGUAACAUGGGACUUUUUGGCCCUUCUCUUGAUGAAAUUUGCAAAGACAUUCACACUCCAACACCACAUGAAACGUCGGAAUCAGAGGAAGAAGAAGAGGAAGAGGUGUUGAGUUGGAUAGCAGCUGUAAUAGGAGUCAUACCUGGUAUUGCCUUUGGAUGGGUGAUUGGAUACAUACUUGUUUCCUACAAACUAGAGUGGUUCAUGAACCCUUUUCUCCGAAACAAACGCAGACGCAGCAGCAACACAACUCAUUAAAGAGGUAAUAUAUUCGAGAGUUUUAAGUCAACUUGUUAGCAAACAUUUGAAGAAACAAAAAUAUUAUAGUCAAAUCUCCUGAAUAAACCUCCUUGUUUUCUUUGUAUAGGUCUUUUAUAACCUACCUGAGGAAUCUGAAAGAUGAAAUCGGAGGCAAUCACUAUGUUUAUCUGUAUCAAUGAGGAUUUGGAGUAUCAUCUCCGGUUUAGCUUGGUGUUUUCUCAUUACUCUGUUUUUACUUUUUAUUGUUAAGCUAGACGGGCUUCCAACCUAAAAGCAAUUGGUGAUAAGUGGAGUGGUCCAUCUAUCUUAUAUAUUACUUAGGAUCCCUUCCAACUACCGAUGUGGGACACUUUGUGUCUAAUACGCCCCCUCGAGAUGAUGGCUCUUUGAGCGUCAAUCUCGGAAUGCUCGGGAAAGGAUCGAUAGGCCAACUUGGGCCAGAUCGAUGGAUCGGAUUGGACUUCGUGGAUCGGGCUCUGAUACCAUGUUAAGCUAGAUGGGCUUCCAACCUAAAACCAAUUGUGAUAAGUGAAGUGGCCCAUCUAUCUUAUAUACUACUAAGAAUCUCUUCCAACAUCCGAUGUGGGACUUUGUCCCUAAUACGCCCACUCGAGAUCAUGGCUCUUUGAACAUCAAUCACAGAAUGCUUGAGCAAGGAUCGAUGGACCGACUUUGGACUGGAUCGAUAAUAGAUCGGGUUGGACUGCGUGGAUCGGGCUCUGAUACCAUGUUAAGCUAGAUGGACUUCCAACCUAAAACAAUUGGUAUUAGACACAAAGUGUCCCACAUCGGUAGUUGGAAAUGAUCCUAAGUAAUAUAUAAGAUAGAUGGACCACUCCACUUAUCACCAAUUGGUUUUAGGUUGGAAUCCCGUCUAGCUUAACAUGGUAUCAGAGCCCGAUCCACGAAUUCCAACCCGAUCCAAACAAUCCAAUUCGAUCCUUGUCAAAACAUUCCGAGAUUGACGCUCAAAGAGCCAUCAUCUCGAGGAGGCGUAUUAGGGACAGAAGUCCCACAUCGGGUAUUGGAAGUGAUCAUUAGUAAUAUAUAAGAUAGAUGGGGCACUCCACUUAUCACCAAUUGGUUUUAGGUUGGAAGCCCGUCUAGCUUAACAUGGUAUUAGAGCCCGAUCCACGAAGUCCAACCCAAUCCAUCGAUCUGGCCCAAAGUUGGCCUAUCGAUCCUUGCCCGAGCAUUCCGAGAUUGAGCCAUCAUCUCGAGGGGGCAUAUUAGACACAAAGUAUCCCACAUCGGUAGUUGGAAGGGAUCUAAGUAAUAUAUAAGAUAGAUGAGCCACUCUACUUAUCACUGUUGUAAAUAGAGGGUUUAGAGACUGAAUAUUUCUCUGUGUGUUAUUAUUGAUCAAUAGUGGUUCCUUAUAUAAGGAUUACAAAGAGUAGAUAAAAGGAAAGUAUCCAAAACCUAAUCCAACAGGAAAUAGGAAAACUAAAGAUAACAAGGAAAAAGGAAAACAUCAUAAUCCUAAGACGGUCUAAACCGACCGUCUCUCUCUCCUCGGACGACCGACUCUCUCUCCUCUUGGUCACGGCCACGGCUGGGCCUGGUCGUGGCUGAUGGGCUUUCUCCUCUUGUCUUGGUUAAUGGCAAUCCACUCCAUGAUUUAUAACACUCCCCCUUGGAUGCCAUAACCAUACAGGAUUUGUAGUACGCUUCAUGUUGCCUCAUUAAAACCUUAUCAGGAAAACCCAGUGGGACAAAACCAUGAUGAAGGAAAAAGAGUACAACACGAACUACUCCCCUUGAUGUGAACCUCAGUGUCGGUUCUACAUUCUACGCAUCUUGGUGCGUGAUAUUUCCUAUAUGUAUAGGAUGGGAGUAAUCGACCAGUUUCAUUACUGAACCGUAAUUAGACCACUUCGACUUCUUAGGUCGUUUCUCAUGUCCUUUGACAUCGAGUGUCCCGGUAAAGCUAUGUGCUAAGCAAUGUGAAUCACAUUGUCCUCGGAGAUCACUAUUGGGUCUUUGCAAAUUGUGUUUGCAUGUGUCCAUGGUCUAGACGUGUUUGUCUACUGUCAAACUCUUUUCUUUGACCAUUAUAAUCACCAUCGACCAUGUAUCAAUCUGGUCGAUCUAUGAUCGGGUCAUAGACCUCGUCUAUACGUGUCCACUACUUGUCUCAUGAGUGUUCAAGAUCAAUGAUCAUUACUGUGAGUUUAUAAUCUCUAAUUAUGGCUCUGUGGCCGAACACUCUCAUGGAUGUGGACAUCGAUUUCUUUGCCUUAGGUAAUGCCGUAUUCAUUAUUCUUUGCAUUCCUAUCUUAAUGAUGAUGAUGGCGUCUCAUGACCUUAGUUGCUGUGGAUCACAUCACACGCUAAGUAUACAUUAUUAGGUCAUGGACUUCGGCUUUCACGAGCUUAUGGACUACAAUACUUUAUAUCCGACAGGUAAGGAUAGAUUAAACAUCUCCUCUUACCCUUACGACAAAACUUUGUGGAGUUUAUACAGCAGCAGACCGUUCUGCUAUGCCGGAUCCUUAAGGGAUCUGAUUGUCGGAUUGCAACCUGAUGGUUGAUCUUUUCUACUAGCCCGUGAUCUAGAAGAAAGGACGGACACCUUAAGCUGAAGGGCCGGACGCAUUUUAUGGCCGAUGGGCUUAGAGCCGGAUGCCAUUUAGCAGAAGGGGCCGGAUGCCAUUUAGCAGAAGGGGCCGGACGCUUUUAGCUGAAAGCCGGAUGCCUUUUAACUUAAGGGUUGGACGUCUUUAGUCGAAGGACCGGACGCCUACAGAUACAUUAUGUAUCAGUCUACUAACCUCCUUUAGGUUUAGUACAAACACAAGGGAUUUCAAAUGUAUAUGGACUGUUAUUGGAUUGUCUUUUAUACAACUCCAAGAUCAUGCGUGAUCGCUUUCUUUUACAUACUAUAUGCAGCUGAUUUUCAGUCGAUGAAUCAGCUUAGGAACAAAGCUGUUCUUUCAAUUUUAUCCAGUGAUCCAUAUGCUGCUUACUACAUCGUUGUAUCUAAUUUCUUUCUUAUGACCAGACCAUUUUCAAUUUCGAAAAUCUGUAGCAGCAUCAACCACAUAGGAGUUUAUCUCCUUAUAAUAUGUUCCUUUGAUCUCUGUGAGUACAAGCUAUAAUCGAAUGCUGUGAAUAGGAAAACAUGAACACCUUUACAUCAUGUACAUCUCUCACGGUUUCUUUACUUCUCACAGGAUCCAUCUAUUUCACUGGUUUAUAGGAUGGCGUUUCUGUAUAUAUGUAUAUGGCCAAUACGCCCAUCACUUUCUUUAGAUACUUUGAACCUCCACGUUUUACCUUUUCUAAUCUCUAUGAUCUUUUAUGAUUGUAUGAGUACUCUUUCGUGGGUUCAUGAUCCUCGUUCAUCUCUUUAUGUUCAAGUGCUAUAACUUUAUGUAUCUUUAUACAAAUGUGUGUGUGUGUGUCGACACUUUCAUGUGGUUCCAUUAUGUUCCAGACAUGAUCUAUAGAUUUGAGAUCUUAUUAUCCAUGACCUUUGUUACCUAGUAGCUUGGCGUCCCAAUACUACAUGGUUUGGUACCUUAGAUGUGUAGCUGCACAGCCUUUUCUCAAUGUCUGUUUGGUUUCUAGUAUGAUCUCGGAUCUAUCAUUCCAUGCACCAUUCUUUUCUAUCCGAGAUCCCUUUAUCUUAUGGAACACUUGGCCUAUCUUGUAUAGACUCUAUAGCAACUUGAUUAUGUCUCUUCUAGGACAUUCAUUUGGUGCUAAGCUGGUUAGUCAUUUCUCGGGUCAGUGUCUGGCAUUUCGAUUAGCAUCUUAAUUAGCUAUCUUUAUAAUCUUUCUUUGGACGUCUUAAAUCAUAAUCUCUAGUCCGAGGAUCUUUGCCAAGACAAUGAUGGUUAAAAUCAUUCUUAUCAUUCUUUUAUCCAGCUUAUAAUCUUUCUCCUUUAAUGUUUGGAUAGAUGGAUGCAAUCCGUGUACUUGGCCACAAUCCGAUCACCCAUGUUUGGCUCAAGUUUUCUUUAUAAAUCGUGGGAGAAAGUAAUACUCCUAUCCAACAUAUAUUCCCAAUCCUCUUCUGAGGUUCCAUCUUAGACGGCACAUAUAUGUAUGUGGUGGUUUAUUCAAAAUCUCUUAAGAUGGUAUAUGUCUGGUUUUAUGACCCGUAUUCAAUCUGAGAUGGGAAUAUCUAUGCUCACUUAUAUGGCCUGAUGCAUUUUGUCAUUUAUAUACAUGUAAAUUCAUAAUGUCUCCAAGCUUAUAGACUUUAUAGUCUUAUCCUUAUAGGUAAUGGCUUACAUGGCCGAUAUCUUAUAGGUAAUAGCUUACUUGGCCGAAUCCUUAUAGGUAAUGGAACGUGUGCGGCCAAGCCUGCACUAUGCGGCCAAGUCACGACCAAGUCACGGCCGAGCCGUUUAUUCUCAUGGCCUCUUUGGUUUGGCCGUUUGUAUCAUGGCCUCUACGGCCGAGGAAUGGUCAUUUAUGGCCGAGUAAUGGCCGAGCCAUACACGAACUUGUAGUAUUGAUCAUGGGUUUAUCCUCUCUCCCCCUCAUGACCAUACUAUAAGUUUGUGGUGCUUGGGACAAUUAAGCCUAAUGAGUUUCCCUUUGUGUACAUGUUUCACAACAUGAGAUCUUUUACGGGAUAACUCUGUGCCUUUUCAAUCUUUGCAUCAAGUUUAGACUUUAGGAUGGCUAAUCCUAUCAUGCCAUAUAGUGUAAAAUUUCGUGGUGUUAUCUCAAUAUGGUUACCACAUCUCUUGCCUCUUUAUCAUACUGAUCUGUAGCAUAGUUUUGAUCAGUAGAGAUCAUAGGUAUAGUCUCGACCACUUUCUUUCAAGGUCUUAGGCGUUUUUCUUCUUAAAAUCUAAAGGAACUUGUUUCCUUCCUUACCCAUUGUUUCUACUUGGAAACCAUACAUUAUAACUUCAAUGGGUCACAUGUUCUUUUGGGUGUGUAUAAUGCCUUUUAAGGCAAUGCCUUAGCCAUAGUUUCUUUACUAUGCUUACUAUACCCAUUCAUGAUUUCUUACUUGGUUUUAUGCCCUUUAGGCAACUCUUUAAAAUCAUUUAUAUGUUCAAGUAAGAUCAGGCAAGACAAUGAAUUCAAAACCAAUUCCAUUGUAUAUAUAAAAUCGUGAACCAUCAAGUAGGUUAAAAGCAAAUCACAAAACAAGGACUUUAAAAUAAAAUGUCGAGAUCCCUCUUAGUUAAAUAGAUAAGCCGGCCUGUCCAUCUAUUGCAUUGGACACGGCUGCCUUGGAUUCAUCUUGAUCCAUUUCCUCAGGAUAUUUCAUCUCACUGCUUUUCUUUAGUACCUUGUCAUUCUCAAUCACCGUUAGGCAAGAGAUCAGGUCAUUGUAAGUGGUAGAACCUCUUUCUAUGUAGAUAUGUUUUGACAACAAAUCUUCUGGAUGGAAUGUGGAGUAUGUCUUGAAUAGACAAUCAUUAUCUGUUACCUCUUCUCCACAUAAUCUCAGUUGGUACACGACCCUGGACAAGGCAAAGUGAAACUCGGCCACUGUCUCAAAGUCUUGGAAUCUGAGACUCAUCCAUUCAUGUUUGACCUUUGGUAAUAAUACCAUAGUGUAUCUGGACUUUAAUUCUGUCCAAAGGUCACGAGGAUUCUCAAUAUGUAGAUACUGAUUUCUCAGUUCCUCAGUGAGAUGAUGGCGCAUUAUUGUAAUGGCUCUUAACUUUUCACUUUUAGUUGCAUAAUCACCCUGAAUGAUACUCCUUCCGAGUCCUCUUGAUUUCAGGGUAACUGAAGUGUUCAUUGCCCAUUCUAGAUAAUUAUCUCCAGAGAGAUUUAGAAUGGCAUAAUCCAUGGGUUCAAAUCUCGGCAUCUGAAAUCAUAUUAUCAAUCAAUUCAUUGAUUUAGAAUUCUUGCAACCAAUUUAAAUAAUCAGUGCAUAUGAUUUCAUAAGUCUAUCUAUGAUACUUAGGCCAUACGGCUUUUUCAUUUGUGAUGCUUAUACCUCACGGCCAUACAACGAUCUUAAGGAUCGGAUCAUGAUGCAAUCCGGUUUAUAAAAUCAUCCGGAUACUAGGCCACACGGUCACUUUGGUAUGCACUAAGCCACACGGCUUUUAAUCAAUCAAGGGCACAAAGCCGCAAGUGUGGGCAAUGUAUUAGGCCACAUGGCCAUAUACAAAAGGAGAUUAUUAAUCUAAGUGUAUUCAAUCCUAUUGCUUAGUUGCAUAUCUAUUAAGAUUUACCAAUUUCAAGGUUGGUAAUAUUAGAUUUUAGAAUCAAGCACUCUAGCAACCUAACUCUCAUUCAAUAUGUAAAUUCUUUAAAUCAAUCUUUCAAGCUUUAAGUAAUGAGAGAUUUAAGGUUUCAAGGCCUUUAGGAAUUUCAAACGAGAUUAAGGGUUUCAAGGCCUUAAGGAUUUCGAAUUUUGAGAUUAGAUCUAUCAAUACUAAAAUCUCAGAUCAAUCAAUCAAACAAUCAAACAAUUUAGAAACCUCAAUGAUCAAUAGAUCAGAUGAAGUCAAAACCGAUUUAAGCUUUUAGGGUUUCUAGGGUAUUUCGAAAACUUUGAUCUUUGAUCAAGGGGAUUUGAUUUGAGAUUCAAAAACCUUUAAGGUUCUGAUUUUAAUUGAUCAAUGGAUCAAUCUCGAAUUAUGGUUUAGGGGAUCGGACUUAUUCGAGCUCCGAUUUACUCUUUUAGGGUUUUAUCUAUUUAUCCUAAUGCUUUCAUCUUAGAGAUUAGUUUUAGAGUUUCAAUCUUUACAAACAAUCAGGUUCGAUUCAUGUUCUCAAAUUAAGUCUGUACCUUUGUUUUGCAGGUCUGAACCGGACCACCAAAGAUCAGAGACGAGCUGAGACGAACGGACGCGGAACGGCUCCUAUUGGGUCGCGUUGCCGAGAGCUAUCGCGAGCUUGUUUCUUCUCGCGGACGGUUUCGUCUGGUCGGGGAUUUGGUCUGAGCUGGACGCAAGCUGAGCUGAGGCUGAGGACGUUGAUCACGGACAGGGAACGUCUGAAGCUGAGCUUGAUCAGAGUUGAGCUUGAUCGGAGUUUGCAAGCCAGAACGCAAGCAAGAACAAUUUAGGGUUCUUCGGGAUUAUAUCUUUGCACGAACUCCUCUUAGCUCAUGAAAUAAAAACAAGGAGUAUUAGAUUACAUGAACACCAUAAUCUGAACAAGAUAUCAUCAAACAACUAAGGUAUGAUAAACUUAUCUUUCACAGGUUUUGAAUUUGGCUGGAAAAUCAUGUUGGUUCGGAUUAGGGUUCCAAAGACCAAGACGCCGCCAUGUAUUGUAUCUGAGAUCGUGGGCGCGUCUGAGAUUAUAUCGACGAACGGUUUGCGCUGAUGGAUUCGUUUCGUAAAGAGCUUCAAUUUGAUAUGUGGCUCGUCGUCUGGUUCCUCGGGGUUUGAGAGAUAGAUCGAUUUUAAGUUGCGUCAAAAUUAGGGUUUAUGUGUGACGGAUUUUAGGUUAGGUUUUGUCUCAGGGUUUUGGAGUCUAUCGUGCUGAUAACGUGUUGUAAAUAGAGGGUUUAGAGACUGAAUAUUUCUCUGUGUGUUAUUAUUGAUGAAUAGAGGUUCUUUAUAUAAGGAUUACAAAGAGUAGAUAAAAAGAAAAUAUCCAAAACCUAAUCCAACAGGAAAUAGGAAAACUAAAGAUAACAAAGAAAAAGGAAAACGUCCUAAUCCUAAGACGGUCUAAACCGACCGUCUCUCUCUCCUCGGACGACCGACUCUCUCUCCUCUUGGUCACGGCCAUGGCUGGGCUUGGUCGUGGCUGAUGGGUUUUCUCCUCUUGUUUUGGUUAAUGGCAAUCCACUCCAUGAUUUAUAACAAUCGCUAAUUAUUUUUAGGUUGGAAGCCCUUGCAAACUUCUUUGUUUCUCUGGCAUUGUUUCCGGUUUAAGUUGGUGUGUAUUUUCUCUACUUCUCUGUUUCUCUGUAAUUGAACAACUAUGUUUAUUACGCUGAAAAUUACAAGCACAGUCAAAGAUGUGUGUCUUUUCCGCUCUUCUGUAUCUAAACAUCAACUGUAUGGACGUGAGAUGAGCAAUAAACAGAUGAUCCAGAUCAACGCUAUAAGCAACACAGGACUUUCAUCACGGAAUUGGAUGAAGGAAAAGCUACCUGCGAUGAGAUGCUUGUCCCGGAGCCAGCAAGGCGUCUGGAGCUUCAACCAAGAUCAUACCGUCCCUGUUCAAGAUAUCCUAGUGAAAGUGAAUGAAUCCAUCGAAACCUUGUUGAAUCUGGUUAGGUGUGUCUUUGGUUUAAGGGCUGAAACACCAACGGUGAUCACCGUCAAGCUGCCUCCAUGGAUGCAUGGCCCAGAAGGAGCCACAAUCGCCCCACUGAACAUUGUAUCAAACACCGAUGUGGAGAUAAUGAUGGGUGCGCAUGAGUGGAACACAGAACCAAAACUCUCGGUCAUUAUUGGAGCGGAGGAGGUUGCGUGGUACCAGUUCGUAUGUCGAACAACGUUCACCAUAGGGGACAGAACGUUCUUGACAGAUGGAGUCUCCGAAGAGCAACACCUAGCAACCAUCAACGGUAAGCAAAAUCAAAAUUAAUAAAAAAGAUCUAUAGUUGAACCAGAAGAAGAAAAAUAGAUAAUUAAUUCUUUCCUUCCAAUUUUGUGGCAGAGAUAAUUGGAGAUGAGGAGAUAAAGUGUCCUAGGCGAUUUCUAGAGGAGCUUUUUAACCAGGACAAAAUGGCUGUUAUUUUUCGUUUUGCGAUGGAGGUUGAGAAAGCAAGAAAUAGUCUUGAUUUGAAUUUAAGCGUAUUUGAUGGAAACGGUGAUCAUAUAGUCCCAGACAUAGGAAAUCUUAACGAGGUCGGUCCAGAGUGGGGAGCAGGAGAGCAAUAUGGUGGUAUUGAUGGAUUUGGGGAUAUGGACGAUUCAGGUAAUGGACCAUAGUAUUCUUUAAUACACAAGCAUUGUUUCCUUUCGGUUACCGGAACUAAGACGUGUUAGAUUUCAUUUUAGAUGUGCCAGCAUAUCAAAAUGUCCCGGGGGGCCAUCUUCACGCGUUGAUAUCGGGCCGGUGUAUUGGCAAGACUUGAUGUCCAGCAGUUAUGCACUGCAGCUUGAUCGAAUUUAUGGGGUGGAAGGCUCGGAGUACGUGGGAUACCAACCUAGUGAUAUCGCUAUUGGGGGACCUGAGGCUAAGCAAAGGACACAAGCUUUACCGGUUUUUCAUGGGUCUCCGGUUCUAUCAUCAUCUGCUGUUACAAAUCUCCCAUCGGUGGGGUCUGAAGGGAACGUCAGUGGUGCGACAGUGGUUCAUAGAGGUACGUUGGUCAUUGUAAAUAGUAUUUUGCUAUACAUCACAUAUAGACGUCCUAAUGUGCAUAAUGUUAAUAAGGUGUAAUGGUUCUUUCACGGUUGCUGUUUCAUAGGAGGAGCAUUGACAAUCGUUCUUCAGGACAUUACGGGGGAUGAGGAGAAUAACGCUAAAGGAGGCGAGGAAGGCAAUAACGACGGCCCGGGUGGUGACCAGUAAACAUGAAUCCAAAUGCGUGUGGUAGUAAAGGGGUUGCAGUUUUUUGUUAUGUUUAAUAUCUACGGUCUUGAUGUUUCUGCAUGUUGUUUCUACAAGCUGGAAAAGGCGUAUUUCAUAAGGUUGUCCUGUAAAAUACCUGUGGCCUUGGGGUUUGUUUUUGGUUUGUUGGUCCCGGUUAAGUGUGUUCCUCUAUAUGUAGUGAAUCCUAUCGAGUAAUUUAAAAUACUUGGGUAUGUUUCGUGUAAUGUAAAAUAUUUGGGUAUCUAUCGACUAUUGCAAAAUAUUUCGUUCUCGCCAAUCUAUAAGUAGGAUCUUGUGUAAUAAAAACCCGGGUUUAGUACUUAAUAACCAUAAAUUUAUCCUAAAAUCCGGCAAUGUUAAUUGAACUACUCAACGAUAAAGAUGAAACAGUUUGACAUAAGUGGUGUGGUCAAUGGUACUUAGACGAAAUAUAUUUUGGAUAUGUUUGAUGUACAACUAUCACUAUGUAUUAAGUCAAAUAUGUAUUCGGUUAUUAACACACCUACUAUGUCGUGAAACUUUUAGUUCGAACCUGAUAAAUGAUGACAUGAGAGUUAGUAGAACGAAACAAAUGGUCUCAAUAAAACAUGUACGAAACAAAGGAGAUUGGAACAGAGUUUGGGCGAUAAAAAUGAAACAAGUCUAGCGUAGGACAACGGAGUUUUAACCCUAAACCCUAAAGAAUCUGGUGAAACUCAUUGAGCAUGACAGCGGCCCUCUGGGAUUCUUCGGUAAGAACUAGCGGGGUGACACACCUGAAUGUGUCUGGACCAAACAAGGCAUGAGUUUGCAUGAGCAAUGCUGCUGUAAACCCUGAAUCACCAGGGGGCAGCGUUAACUGGAACGCCUUUUAUUCUUUCAACCGACAGAUUUUGACCAUCAACUCUGUCAAUGCGACCACAAUACUUGAGGAGAAGGAGGAACAUCUCGGCAACAGGGUACAGAUCUCUUGACAACAGAGCAUCAGUGCGGACAACGGGGUUGCAAUCUAAAACGUAUAUCUUACAUGAUGGGCAGUCAACACAAAUGCCAAUCCAAUGCUUGUUCGCGAUGAGGAAUGGGAAAUAGAAACUGGUGGUGUUGCUAUCUUCAGAUCCAGUUUUCUUCAAACAAUCUGCCAGCCCCUUACUGAACGCAUAAUCUUUUUUGAUUUUCGCUUUCUUAAACUUGGGAUAGUUCCUAGUAAACAUUGUCACAAAUCGGGUAUCAAAGAACUCAGCGGUCUUGUCGCUCUUGGCCUGUACGUGUUUAUUGAAGGUUGAUCUGACUAGAUGCAUAAGUAUAUCCAUCACCUAACAUACUAAAAAUAUUAGGUUUCCCUUCCGAGAAGCAAGCAUUUUGGAAGCAUAUUUGAUUUUUAUUAACAGUACCUUAGCGGGUAGGAGCCUGUUCUUAUCAGCAAUGCCUGAUGUCCUUCGUGUUGAUAGAAAAACCGUCGACGUUUAUUAAACAGUCACCAAUAAAUAAUCAGCAGGGGAGUCAGUGUACUAAUGCACAACAAAAACAGAAAAAUUAGGUUACGUGUUAAAAUAACCGGGAGUUAGACAACCCACCGAGGCGGGGUGAAGAUGUGUAGAUAAACCAGUUUGGGGAAAUGUUAAUGCAGUUUACGUAAAUGAACUCCGGCCUCUUAUAUUAAUAACCGGUUACACAAAAAGUGUAUAGGGAGUUACCAUGGUCUAGUUAUGAGUGUUGUGAGCUUCGUGUACUUCUCACGGAGGACCGCAUUCACAUAGCGGUUGUCUGCACACAUCUGGGCUUCCCAAGCUCUGUUUAGGAUUGCAUAACUACAAUGGUAGUCAUUGACCAGUGCUGGUGGAACUGUCCUUAAGCGUUUGCUUUUGCGGCAAAGAGGACCGCCCUCUCCAUUUUCAUCGUUGUCUACAUCAGCAUUUACUAAAACAUCGGCAACAGCAUCAGUUGGUCUUCCCAGCUCAUCAUGAGUUAAUCCGAGCGAGAAAGAAUGAGCCUGCAUAAGUAUAAUUAAAGGGCUGUGAUUAACAAUAAAGCGAUAUGACCAAAAAUUCCUAUUUCAAAGCAAUGAUUUACCAGUGGGUCGUUCUCAUGCUUGGUAAUGCUGGUAGCAGACAAGGAUGUCUGUUGCUGAGUCUCACCUUCCUGAUGACCACUAGAGUGGGUGAGAGAUUUGUGCUUGUUAGAUCUCGCGUCGGAAAGCUGUUAUGAAAAAUUUUAAUAAAUAGAAACUCAGCAUAAGAUGAAACCAGAUCUGCAGACUAUAAUUUGGCUACAACACAGAGAAACCGGAUCUAUGUACUAUAUAUAUAUGCUACAACCCAAUAAAACAUGUAGUAUAAAUAGGUGAGAACUAAAACAAGAAACUAGAGGCUUACCGGGCAGCGUUGGGCAGACCGAGGAGGUGUGGAAUACUGACUAAGGCUCGCUCUCCAUCACACUAUUAAUAAUCUGGUCAUUGGCGUCUUCACCUGAUGGCUUUGCAUGUCGGGAGGUACCUGACCUGCUUCUAUUGUCAGCCGAUGGUGUAUGUUCUUGUGGCCGUUGCGAAGGGGUAAUAUUCCGUGUUUUUAACGGUUUUAAACUCGUUUUGGAGCAAUUAAAUGGUCGGUUUUAAUUAAUGUUUUGGUCUAUUUGAUGCGUUUUGGUGUUCUUAAGUGUAAUAUGCAGGUUACUAGAUAGCUUGAAAGAAAAGAACGCAUUCGGGAUUUAUUCAGAAGCAAGAUGGACCGAACAAUGGACCGAAUGAGAAGUAUUGAUCGCACAGNNNNNNNNNNNNNNNNNNNNNNNNNNNNNNNNNNNNNNNNNNNNNNNNNNNNNNNNNNNNNNNNNNNNNNNNNNNNNNNNGAAGAAGUUCAUGAGAGAUGUGAACCACUAUUACUGGGAUGAUCCCUUCCUCUACAAGAGAUGCUCAGAUGGUUUAUUCAGGAGAUGUGUUCUGGAGAAUGAGAUGCAAGGGAUUCUUUUCCACUGCCACAGUUCAGAAUACGCAGGCCAUUUUGCAACAUUCAAGACGGUUUCUAAGGUCCUGCAGGCUGGUUACUGGUGGCCUACACUUUUCAGAGACGCCCAUGAGUUUGUCUCAAAGUGUGAUGCAUGUCAGCGGAAGGGUAACAUCAGUAAGAGAAAUGAGAUGCCCCAAAAUUUCAUCCUUGAAGUUGAAGUUUUUGAUGUAUGGGGAAUUGAUUUUAUGGGCCCUUUCCCAUCUUCUUAUGGAAAUGAGUACAUCUUGGUUACGGUUGAUUAUGUCUCCAAGUGGGUGGAAGCAGUAGCCAGCAAGACAAAUGACUCUAGUGUUGUCAAGAAAAUGUUCAAGACAGUCAUUUUUCCAAGAUUCGGGAUCCCGAGAGUGGUUAUAAGUGAUGGAGGCUCUCACUUCAUCAACAAGACGUUCAAUAAACUGCUGAAGAGAGUAAAGCAUAAGGUAGCUACACUUUAUCAUCCUCAGACAAGUGGGCAGGUUGAAAUAUCGAACCGAGAAAUCAAGGGGAUUUUGGAGAAGGCUGUAGGCAAAACAAGGAAAGACUGGGCUGUGAAGCUUGAUGACGCCUUAUGGGCGUAUAGAACCGCCUACAAGACUCCCUUGGGCACCACUCCUUUUAAUCUGGUCUAUGGAAAGUCUUGUCACCUACCUGUGGAAUUGGAGUACAGUGGUUUUUGGGCAACGAAGUUGAUGAACUUCGACAUUAAAACCGCAGCAGAAAGGAGGAUGGUUCAGUUGAACGAGCUGGACGAGAUUCGGUUGAACGCCUAUGAGAACACCAAAAUCUACAAGGAAAGAACUAAGGCAUGGCAUGACAGAAAGAUAAUCCCGAGAGACUUCGCUGCUGGAGACAAAGUCCUUCUGUUCAACUCUAGACUCAAGCUAUUUCCUGGAAAGCUUAAGUCUCGUUGGUCCGGACAUUUCACCAUCACAGAGGUUAGACCUUAUGGAGCUGUCGUCUGGGAAGACAAUGGGAGGAAAUUCACCGUCAAUGGGCAGAGGCUAAAACCUUACUUCACAGAUGCAAAACCCGAAGAAGGAACCAACAUUCCUUUAUCGGAACCCGAUCUCGCCUAAGGACAACAAAAUAGUCAGGCUCGCGACUUUAAACAAGCGCUGACUGGGAGGCAACCCACAUGGUUUGAUUUUCUUUNNNNNNNNNNNNNNNNNNNNNNNNNNNNNNNNNNNNNNNNNNNNNNNNNNNNNNNNNNNNNNNNNNNNNNNNNNNNNNNNNNNNNNNNNNNNNNNNNNNNNNNNNNNNNNNNNNNNNNNNNNNNNNNNNNNNNNNNNNNNNNNNNNNNNNNNNNNNNNNNNNNNNNNNNNNNNNNNNNNNNAAAAAAACUCUCUACGUAUUUUUCUCAGACCCUGUGAUGAUUAUUAGACUAUUUCCUUGUGUGUUGUGUAUUACAUUAUAUAUUGACCAUUUUUCAGGACUGUUGGCGCAGACAAACCGAGGAACUACUUGACCAAGCAACCUCUCCUUAAAUCUUUUAUCAAGUCUCGGUGAAUUGUAAUCGACUCAAAUAUUUUUGACCAUUAAUGAAUUUAAUUUCUUUUGACCAGGAAUCAACAUCAGGAAACGGUACACCAUAUACACAUUCAGGAUUUUCUUUACCACAUUUUACCACUCUUUAAUAAUCCUGAAUGGCCAGACUCAUCAAUAGUUUGGUACCUCACCUACACCUUACCCUUUUAUUUCAUCUCCAUGCAUUCUUACACACUGAUCAUAUGUGCAUACAUGUGCAAAAACAAUGGAGAGAUUAGGGUAGACAUGGUUCAUCCGACUGCUUAGGUAGGAUCGGAACAUUUAGGUGGUUAGACACGGACCUGUGUGUCUAGAGGUGUAAAUAGAAAAAUUGGGUGUUGUAAGUGUGUGAUUGCAUCGCAGUGUAUAUAUUCGAUUUCGGUUUGUAUAAGUUUUCGUUCUGAAAUAUAAAAAAAAAAAAAAAAAAAAGUUCAUGUUUAUAUCUCAUUCAGUAGAUUUGAUUUAGACAUUUUAUUUUUAUUUUGUGUACCAGAGAUGAUGCGUUGUUUAAAUUUGGGGUUAGAGUUUGAGAUUUGUUGGGUUUUGAUCAUUUGAGACUUGAGCAGUUCGGAGCUUUUCACUCCUUUUUACCCACUCCCCUCAAUAAUAGACAGAGGAACUCGACUUUUGAGACUCAGAAAAGACCAGGGGCGACCAAGGAGGAGAUUUACAAGUUCUAGAGAGAGAUUUGAGUGUUUUGUACUUGUUUUGGUGUGAUUUGUGAAGAUUUGUAAAGGAGUUCAUCUCAAAACCAUUUGGAGAAGAUCUUCUGAACCUUUACUCUGUUUUAAUACAAUCUUAUCAUGUUUUCUUCAUCAAAAUCGUUUUGUUCUUGCUUAGUUAUGUGUGAGUAGUCAUCUAGUUGGGUUUAGGGGUUCUCAUAGGGGAUUUCUUGAUGUUUUGAUCCAUAAAACGUGUGUAGACUAAGGGAUUACGUUUUGGUUCUUCAUCUAAUGGAUUUCUUACUGCUUGAACUGAAUUGAUCACUUAGUUCAUGAUUUCAGAUUGUUUGAUGCACCGAAAGUGAUUGUUUGAACUUCCGAAAAUACUUUAGAUGAGCAAAGUGUCCUUAACCCUCGGAAGUUGAUGUUAUUGCGCUUUGUGAACAUAUUGAACCUGUUCUUAAUGCUUGUUUAGAAAUUGAAACUCAGCGGAAGUUAGUGUGGAGAUUUCUAUAACAUAGAGAAUUAGCGCUACGGAAGUAGGUUAAUUCUAAUAUCGUGUUUGAGUUCUAGACGGUUCUUAAUAUAUCCCUGUGUCUUCCAUUAAUUGUAUCUUGAUUAAAAAGAAAUCCCUGAGAAUUCCCAAUGCCCAACGUUUGUUUUAAAAUAGUUUUCAAAUCGUUUAAAUCAUCUUUUUACAUGCUUGUUUAUGUUUUGUGACACCUAAGAAAAUUAAAUAAGAACCAUCAAAAAUAUAUCUUGAUUCGCUGUAGCUAUUAACUUGUCUGCAACUCUACGUGUGAUCAUCGGUCCCUGUGGAUUCGAUCCCGCAUUACUACUGCGUACUUUAUUGUGCACUUGCAGUUAGAUAAUCGGGUUAAAACUCGACACAUCAAGGGGGACAGUGUCCUUCGUGUUCUCCAAAAACUCGGGUCUGGGAUGUCUGAAGGUUGUCGUUGUUCUGUUCAGCAACCUCUAGAGGUGACUUGACAAUGGACGCCAUAAUUUCCUGUUUGAAAGCUACAAGCAUUGCAUCGAGUGGUCCAAGCACAGUAGCUUGUUGUUGGGCCUCUGCGCUCCGGAUUAUUGAUGCAAUUGAGGCAUCUAUUUUUGAAAUCUCGGGUUUCAUGACAGCAAGAACAAUUGGCUUGAUAGUAGAUUCAUCUAUGACUCCAGCGGUGGUUUCCUUCGAAGUGGUUUGCUUCGAUGUGGGUUGCUUGCGUUUGGCCGCAACUUUCGCUGACUCCCUCAUUCUCUCAACUUCCUGUUUUGUUAGGCCCCCUUUAAACAUGUACUUUGAAAAACAAUGAUUCGCAUGAAUCAGCUUGUCGACUUUAGUAUCUUCGACAUGGUCUUUUACAACAAGAAUGGAUUCAUCAACCGGGUGAAGAGGGUCUUGGGGGAAUGAUACUCAUAUGGGCUAGCCAAUAAAACCGUGAACUUUUGUUGACUUUUUUAGUUUAUUAAGAAACUUACGAUUGACUGACCAUAUUAACACACCGUUAACCGAGUUAACAGAUAAAUAAGCGGAUGUUAAUUUUGGGUGUUAAAGCAUACGACGUCGUUUCAUAUCUUUGUCUGAUUAAAGACAAACGACGUCGUUUAUAUAGGUUUGUUAUUAAAAAUAUGUGUUUCCAACGGGUCGAACUCGUGUACUCGGGUUUAAUGGUAGGGGUUUUUGCCACUGAGCUAGUGGACUUUGCAAUAGAUUUACGAACACAGUUUCUUUUAUUCUCUUCGAAGCCGAGUUAAAAGACAAAUGAAUGAAACGACGCGUUUUAUAUAGCUUUUUUAUUAAAAAGAUGGGCUUCCAUCGGCUCGAACUCGUGCACUCGGGUUUAAUGGUAGGGGUUUUUGCCACUGAGCUAGUGGACUUUGCAAUAGAUUUACGAACACAGUUUCUUUUAUUCUCUUUGAAUCCGAGUUAAAUGAAUCAAAAAUCAUAAAUCCAGCUCGAUUCUCUUCGAUCUCGUCCUUAAGAAUCUCGAUUCUCACCUUUCCUUCUUCGAGUAUCGCAUGAUGAGUUCGGAUCCUUCAACGCUUUUACGGAUCCUCGAUCUCUCCGGCGAUGACAAACUCACAGAAGCAUCGCGUUCUCCACCCUUCUUCGACUCUUGAAUAGCUUCGUCACUCCCGUAAUCGAAAUUCCUCAUCGCUCCGAAAAUCAUUACCUCCCUUCCAUUCCUUGUGAACUUCGUCUUUACCAUCUCCUCACAUCACAAGAUAAAUCCCCAAAUUGAUUUGAGAAAUUAGGGUUACGUUCAAACACGGGUUUCGUUUUCUUUGAUUUCAAUCAAACACAUCUUUUGAUCAAUAAAAAUAAACAUGUGUGGUAAUCUUCCGAAAAGUCCACUAGCUCAGUGGCAAAACCCCCUAAGGACCACGACUGCACGGGUUCGACUCCAGCCAACAACAAUUUUAAUUAAGCAAAACGACGUCGUCUUGACAUUUUGUCUUUAACAAAACAAUUGGAUGAAACGACGUCGUUUCACUAAACGACAGUAAUUAACAGUGAGUUAACACUGUCUUAACUGUCGGUUAACGGUGUGUUAAUCUGGUAAGUCAACCGUAAGUUUGUGAAUUAACAAAAAAUGUCAACAAAAGAUCUGAAUUUUAUUGGUCAGGCUCGAGUACAUGUUUCUUUUGGCAAUUUCUGCAAAGUUCAGUGUUUUUUGGCCGAUUUCUCAAAGUAAAAUCCCUUUAGUUUCUCACACUACACGCAUGAUCUCCCAAACCAUUAUUUUUUUCUCGACACGAAUUAACUCUCGAUCAGAAACUGUAAAAUUUUAAAUUAUUUGCAACAACUCCAUUAAAUUGUUUUUUUUUUUGAAUGAAAGUAAAAUUAUAAUCAAACAAAAACUGUGUUACAUCUUGUGCUUCUGUUUUACUUAUGAACUCAUAAGGCAAUAAAAAUAAAAGAUUCUAACCACCUAUUACGAUGGUGUUAGAUCUUCUCUCGUGCCAAACCAAGUACGCAGACUUCUCUCCAAAUAGGCUUGGCCUCUUGCUUUGACUGCAAGCAGAUGCAAUCUGAUCGUUUUAUCAACGAGUUUGCUCAGAGUAAUGGCAUCCUUUGGUUCUUCACCAUGUCUCCUCGAGUUUCUUUCCCUCCAGAUACUGUGAACUGCUGCCUGCAGGGAGUAUCUGAUAAGGAACAAUUCUGUGGCAGGAAAGGUCGAGCCAGAUAUUAUAGUGAUAAUGGUAUUCCAGUCUGUGGUAAAGCCAUCUUUGAGAAGCCCUUGUACCAAUGAUUUCCAAACCUUAGAUGAGUAGGUACAUUGGAAAAAGAGAUGAUGGCAAGUCUCUUGCACUUCAUGACAUAGAGUACACUCUGCGUUUAUGGUAGCAUUCCAAGCUUGCAUUUUAUCUCCUGUUUGCAACCUGUUCUUUAUUGCAAUCCAGAUCAUAAAUGAGUAUUUCGGGGUGGACUCGGGGAACCAUAUGCCUCUGCUCCAAGGACAGAUAGAUUGCCUCGUCCUCAGCUGAUGCCAUGUCUUUUUAGUGGAGAAUCGGUUUCCAAAUUUUCCUUCUUCGCUUCUCCAUAACGGGACAUCAUCCAUGUCCCUUAACCCUCCAAUGCGCAAUUUAUUUAUGUCUUCCUCUAUAUCAUUUAGAAUGCGCUCUCUAUGUCUUCGCCUCCUGUUAUUUGAGAGGACAUCUGCCAUCGUAGCAUUUUCCACAAUACCAAGCGCUAUUUUACCUCUAUCACCUACGGCUUCCUUUAGGCAACCAAUCUGCGACCAGACAUUAUACCAAAAGGAUGUAUGGUUCCCAUUUCUGACAUCUAUACGCAGAAAUUGCCUUGCUAUGUCUCUCAUUCGUAGAAUCUUCUUCCAUAUCCAAGACCCCAAAUUUGUCUUAACUGAGAUCGACCAGAAAGACCCUUUCCUUAUCAAAUAACAAUGUAUCCACUUGACCCACAAGGAGGAUCUAGCAGAUGAUAUUCUCCAGAUUAGCUUCAGGCAGUGAACUUUGUUUAUCUCCUUUAAAGACCUGAUUCCCAAGCCUCCUUCAUUCUUUGGUAAGCAAAUGUCUUGCCAGCUCACUUUUGCUUUUGUAGGUUUUAAAACAGGGCCUGACCAGAGAAAGGCUGCGCAUAGACUUUCUAUUUCCUUCAAACAACUACCUGGGAGUCGAAAAGCCGCUAGCCAGAAGUUUGCUAGACUCAUGAUUACCGAGUUGAUCAGCUGUAGCCGCCCUGCAUGGGAAAGGAAACGACCAGUCCACGAGCUCAUGCGCUUUCUUAUCUUUUCCACCAAUGGCAUGUAGUCACUUACUGUCAUUCUCUUUGUGAGGAGGGGAAGACCUAAGUAGCGGACUGGUAGCUGUCCUGAGGCGAAGGGGAAGCUUUCGAGGGUCUCUGCUUCUUGUUCCACUGUUGGACCUGCCAUGUAGAGAACUGUUUUCUCCAAGUUGAUUUUCAGACCCGAUAUCACUUCAAAGUCUGCAAAGAUCCUAAGAAUACCUGCAAUAGACCUUCGUGUGCCAUCAGUGAAGACAAGCAGAUCAUCAGCAAAGCAUAAAUGUGUCAAGAGGAUGUUCCGACAUCUCGGAUGGUACCCUAUUUCUUUUCUUUCUACUGCCUUGUCAAGCAUAUUUGAUAAUACAUUCAUGCAUAUGACAAAGAGGUAUGGCGAUAGUGCACAACCCUGCCUCAGCCCCCUCUUGCUUUGAAAGAAACCCGCUAGUUCCCCAUUUACUUGUACUGAAAACGAAGGCGUGCACACACAUAGCUCAAUCCAAUGGAUAAAUUGCUCCGGCAUGUUCAAGGCUCGAAGGGUAUUCAAGAGAAAUGGCCACUGAACAGAAUCGAAAGCUUUUGCUAUAUCAAUCUUCAUGGCACAUCUUAAUGAGAUGUCCUCCUUGUGGUAGUCUUUUACAAUUUCAGUGGCGAGAAGUAGAUUUUCCACAAGCAAUCUGUCCUUCACAAAUGCGGACUGAUUGUAAGAUACACAGCGAGGGAGGGUGCCUUUCAGCCUGUUUGCGAUGAUCUUUGAGAUGACCUUAUACAAGACAUUACAGCAGGCUAUGGGUCUGUAGUCUUUCAUCUCCAUCGCCUCAUCUUUCUUUGGUAUCAACGCAAGGAUUGUGGUGUUGAGGCCCUUUGGAAGAAACCCCUUGCUGAAAAAAGAAUGCACCGCUGUGGUAAAAUCCUUUGAGAUGAUACUCCAUGAAACCUUGAAGAAUUCAACAGUAAACCCAUCAGGUCCCGGAGAUUUUCCACUAGGCAUUCGAAAUAGGACUUGUUUGAUUUCUGCAUCCGUUACCGGUUUAAUGAGAGUAUUAUGUUCUUCGUCGGAGCAGCGGAAGUUGAUGAUUUGCUGCAUCUCCUCUACUGUUUUCUGUUUCAACCCAUCCGGUAUAUGAGAUAGGGAUUUAGAGAAAAACCUCUCAGCCUCAUUUUUUAUUUCUUCUUGAGAUCGUACCACCUGCCCCGAUGCACAUCUAAUUUCUCUGAUUGCAUUCCUUGUCUCCCGAAUCUUAACGGCGUUGUGGAAGGCUUUAUUGUUUUUGUCUCCUACUUGCAACCAGUGUAACUUCGAUCUUUGCUUUAGAAUUUUUUCCUCAAUUCCAGAAACCUUCUGCCACCUCUCAGCUGCUAAUAGUUCUGCUUGUAUAUGAUCGUGGGAGGGAUCACUUAAGGUAGCUUCUUGCUUCUCACAUAAAUCUUGAUAUGCUUCCCUGACCUUCUUGGUCAAGUCACCCAGCUUCUCCUUGCUCAAACUUCUUAUCAGUGGUUUCAGGCCUUUGAGAACCUUUGAAAACCGAAACAGAGCUGAUGUGGACUGAAACAAUGGUAUCUUAUCUCUCCAAUAUUCUUCUAGCCUUCUAAGAAACUCUGGCAUUUCUGCCACUGCAUUCGUAAACUUAAAUGGUCUGCGUUUCCCAACAGCUUCAGGCUUCAAGUGGAACCUUCCUCUCAGGUGGUCUGAGCAACCUCCAGAUUCAAAGACAUUAUAGGCUUGAGUUCUCCUGUGAAGCCACACUUCAUUAACUAGGAUUCGAUCCAGUUUCUUACAUAUGAUCCCUUCAUCCCUCCUAUUGCACCAAGUGAACUUAGGGCCUUGAUACCCCAUAUCAGUGAAAUGACAAUACUGAACCACACUUUCAAACUCUCUCAUUCCUGUGGUUGUGAUCCCAGAGUCCUGAUAAUUUGAGUGCUCUCCUCCCCCCAGUAUUUCAUUAAAAUCUCCCAUGACUAUCCACUCCUUAUUUCUGAAUAAGGGUGAGCUUUGAUGUGACUUUAUAUCGUCCCAUAGCUCUCUUCUCUGCUCUACUGUGUUCUCCGCAUAGACGAAAGAACAAAAGAACUCUUCCUCCUCACCCUCCAGCAGAACUGAGACCGUGAUCAUUUGUUCUGACUUGAAAACAGGUGUGAGCCUGACGCGAGGGCUCCAAAGAACCCAUAUCCUUCCCUUCCUACUAAACUCGUAAUUGCUUAUACAAGACCAUCCUCUGCAGACUGAAUCAACAAUUGCAGCUGAUUUCCUUUCCUUCACUCUUGUUUCCAGCAAGCACCCAAACUGAAAAUCUUUACUUCUUAUCCAAUUAUGGACCACUGUGUGUUUUGAUGGCUUGUUGAAGCCUCUUACAUUCCAAAAAAACCCAGUCAUUGGGAAGAUUUGUUGGAGCUUCUUCUUCCUGAAUUACCAGGCAUGUUGAUCGCAAGGAUGACCUUAUGAUUCGUCUUGGAGUUUCGUGGGAUAUAGGGUCUUUUGUAAGUACUCUCUCCCUUUUCCGACUUUUCCUCAUCCCCUUUUGUCCCUUUCGUUUCAAACUUUUGUUUUCCUCCUUGUACUGUCUGUCCCCCUGCUACUUCAACUUGAGCUGGGUCUGAUGUCACAUCUUCCUCCAAAAGCUCUCCUCCUUCACGUUCUUCUGCCAUGUCCUUCCUUUCAUUUUUCUCACUCACCCCGAUUUCCUUCUGCUUUACAUUCCCCUCCAAUAUCACAGUUUCCUCCGGUAUUUUUGUAGUUUCAGAUUUCUCAUCCUGCUUCAAACUCUCAGAUUCCUCCAUAUUAUCUUUAACACUUUGCUUCUCUGGUUCUUCCACCUUCUCAGUUUCCUCUAGAUCAUUUAGCACUUCAGAUUUCUCAUCCUGCUUCAAACUCUCGGAUUCCUCCAUAUUAUCUUUAACACUUUGCUUCUCUGGUUCUUCCACCUUCUCAGUUUCCUCUAGAUCAUUUAACACUUCAAAUCUGGAAGCUAAUUUGACAUGACCGUACUUCAGCUCUUGCCUUUUGCUACUACUUUUACCAUUUGAGACAUUAUACCACUCUUCUACCACCUGUCCCUCUUCAAUUUCAUCAUCCUGCUCAAUGUUUUGCAAUUCUAAUUUAUCAUUCUCUACUACGAACACAUCGACCUCAUUGCCUCCACUCUCUCCUUGCUUUUUACUUGAUGUCUCCGUAGCUACUUUGGCUAGUUCCUUUGCCAUAUCCUGAACUGACAAUUCGUUACUCUCCUUUUUGCUCCUGACACAUGAUUUCUCGGCAUGUCCCCAUUUUGCACACGUGAGACACCGUAGAGGAAGCCAUGGAUAGAUGAACUCAACAUUGAAAGCCUUGCCAUUUUUUGUGAAUGUCAUCUGCUGCGGUAGCUCCUUUGUUAAGUCGGCAUUAAUAAACACCUUUGCUAGCUUGAAGUUUGUGCAAGACGCCGUCUCAGGGUGUAGUCUCACAGGGUAGCCAGCUGCACUUGUGAUAAAACUAAGCCCCUGCCAAGAGAACAUAUGCAUUGGAACAUUUUUGAGGUGGACCCAUAGUGGUAUAGACUUCACUUCUGGCUUCUCCUUUAGUUCAUCUGGAGUCCAUUUGGUAACUACCAAAGGUAUGUUCCCAAUGUUCCACAUGCCUCUUCGGAGAACCCUUGCUCUCACAUUAGCGUUUGUAAUGCGAAACUUCAUUGUAGUACCAUCAACCUCUUGUACAUCAAUCACUUGCUUCUUGUCCCCGUACGACCAAAUCUUGUUUACCACCGCAUGAAUACGAGCAAUAUGGGGAGCUGUGUCCAGGAAUUUUCCAAUCAAGUAAUCUUUCCAUAGUGGAUUUGCGUUGUUGAUAACCUCAUCUGGUAUCUCCACCGUUUGCUGUCCCUCAGACUCAGUGAUAGCUAGAUCGUAUUUUCUCAAGAUCUUCUUCUCUUGAGCCGCUGUAACCCAUGACAUCCCUUUUGAUGUCGUCGACCCCGAUUGACUCUUCGCAGCCAUACCCGGACCCUCUUUCUGUGUUUGUAACACCUGAACCGCCUCCUGACCCUCACCGCAGCAUCCCCCCUCGACGUUUGUUUAUUUUCCAGCCAUCGACCCAGCUCCCGAUCCGGGUCCCAGAUCCUCCUUUUGCACUUCUGCCACUCGCCCUACCCCCUGAGCACCUUCAACACUCGCCAGCACCCUUGAGCCGUCCGGCGGCUUCGUCAUGACGUAACCGCAGGUCGGAGUCCUUCGAAAUCGCCUAUCUCGCGAUCGCGUUGGAUGGAACCGACCGAAGAUCUGGAGUGUGGAGGAGGAAGUUGCCGGACGAUCUUGAAAAAAUCGCAGUUUGUUUCGCAAUCACUGUUCACUCAAUCGUUACUGUUCACUCAAUCCAACUCCUUUUGUCUAUAUUCACCAUUUUCAACUCCAUUAAAUUGGGGUUGAGUGUUUGCACUUACUUUCUUGUGUGUUUAUGGAAACGUUAAAAAGGUGUUGGGGACUUUCAUCACGGAAUGGGAUGAAGGUAAAGCUACCUGCAAAGGAGAUGCUUGCCACUAAGGAGUCUGCUCUGAUGUAUGCUGAGCGUUUGGUUGAGCUUGCUACUUCUCUAGGUUUUGAUGGUUGGCUGAUGAGUUUUGUAACAUAUCUGCAUCCAAAACAUACUACUAGUUAAGUGGAGAGAAGGUCAUUUCGUUUAUGUAAGCUGUUACAUGCAGAUUAAUAUAGAGAACGAAAUAGAUGAAGAACAGAUUCCUAAUUUGAAGGAAUUCGUAAGCCAUCUAACAAAAGUCUUGCAUUCAUCUACUCUUGGGGCUUUGGUUAUAUGGUGAGUUGUUAACAAGUUCUUUCUUUUGGUAUAACCACUUUGAUCUGAUCACCCUUUUUAAUUGCAGGUACGACAGUGUCACUGUUUCUGGCGAUCUCAAAUGGCAAGAUCAUUUGAAUGAGAAGAAUAAACCUUUCUUUGACUUGUGUGAUGGAAUCUUCAUGAACUAUACAUGGAAGGUACCGUUUUGGUUUUCGGUUUGUGUUUCUUCUAUUUGCCUUUGCAUGUUAUUUGAGUAAGUGAUGAUAUUUCAGGAGAGCUACCCCAACCUAUCAGCUGAAGUUGCUGGGGACAGAAAAUACGAUGUCUACAUGGGGAUUGAUGUCUUCGGUCGCGGAUCCUUUGGUGGUGGGCAAUGGACUGUAUGUUUUCAGAAACUCUUGCGAACACCAAUUAUUUUGUCAUUGUUUUUCUUCACUGUCUCAUCAAUAUCUAUAUAUAUGCUAGGUUGAUACUUCUCUUGAUUUGCUGAAGAGAAACAAUGUAUCAGCUGCCAUUUUCGCUCCCGGAUGGGUAUAUGAGACUGCACAACCUCCUAAUUUUCAUACAGCUCAGAAUAAGUACUACUCUUCUUUUGCCUGUUUGUUUGUAAAAUAAAUUGCCAUUUAUUUGUCAUCUUAUUAUCGUUCAUUCGUUCUCUUCAGAUGGUGGUCACUUGUUGAGAAGUCAUGGGGAAUAGUCCAAACAUAUCCACAAAUCUUGCCUUUUUACUCGGAUUUCAAUCAGGUAAACUGAGAUUGAUCUAGUCUUUCUUCCUAUCAGUUAUCUGAUGCUCCAUGGUACAACAUAUCUUGCCAAAGUCUCCAGGUUCAACCAUCUUAUAGUCAUUCAUUGUACAUAUAAUAUUAUCUUCUCAUCUGAUUGUUGUGUUAUUCACGUCAGCCACUCCUAGAGUUCAAGGAAGACAAGUUCUAAACUUGGACUCCUGCUUCGUUUCUCAUCCCCAUCACACGAAACUAAAUCAAUACUUGUGGCCCCACAAGAACCAAUCCCCAUAUUAGUAGAUCACAUGUUCUUGAAGUGCCUUGUCAUGGAUGGACACACACUGAUUGAAAUCUUUGCCUUUUGCUACGGACCAUAGAACUCGACAAAGACAUCAGAGUACGUUGCAUUGCUCGGUCACAUCUCAAUCAAAGAUCAUGUUCAGCUCCUCCAGCAAAACUUCGUUUCCUUACAUCAUGGGUCAUCGAGGCUCAUAACAUACAGCUUGUACCGUGUAAUUCCGGUUCUAAGAUCCUCAGGGUUAAGCUAGAAUGGAGACAGAAACAGCGUGAAGACUCUGUUCUCCCAGUGUACAAUGUGUAUGCAGAGAGUGUGAAGUCAACUGAUGUACUAAGAUCGAGGAAGGUUUUGGAGAAACCAAGAAGCGAGAGAGUGUUCCUCGGAAUCUCUCACGUACCAGCCUACUACGUUUCGGAACUGGUGCUAGAUUCGGACGUGAAAGGAGUCAGCUUCGUGGUUCAAUCCUGUGGUGAAGAUGGUUCAUGGAUGAAGGUAGAUGAUUCCCCUAACCUUCUUGUGGACUUGGAAGGUCUCUCGUAGGUUGCUUGAAACUAUGUAUGAAACGAUUAAUAAUGUAUAUUACAAAAUUACAUUAAUCUAGAAAGUGGGGAAAAACAUAAUAAAAAAAUCUGAACCAAGUCUCUUCCGUAUGGAAGUUUUGGUUUCUCAUCACUAGUAGUCUCUUUUCUGUAUAUUUUAUCGAAUGAAAGUGAGAUGAUUAUCACCAAAACUUGUUAUUUAUGGACGUGAGAAAGAACAAAUGCGGAAACUGAUUGGUUCAUCAACAUUUUUUUUUUUUGUUUACUACUGCCAUAUAUUGAAGAAACAAAAUAGCGAUGGAGUAAAAUCUUGGCUUCUUCCCGACGAUCUCGCCCUGAGAAAUAUUAUUUGAAGAAUAUACUCACUAUUAUAUGGCUCGAUCGUGAGUACAUUUAAUUCACGACGAAGAGUUGAUUCUUCUGUCACGAAGAAUGUUCUCAUUAUUAUAUGACUUCGAGCAGAUUGAUAUUUUUGUUCAUUUUGAUUGAUUCUUUUAUUCUUUUUGUCAUUUUGCAUAUAUUUCUCAUUUUGGAAGUCAUGAGGAAUAAACCAAAAAUAAAAAUAAGACCAUUCGCCGUUGAGUUUUCUUGAAAAGGUUGAUGUUUGUUUUCUUCUUACUAAAUGUAAGAGAUUCAUUCUUAUUUUGAAAUUCUAUCAAAAUUAAACUAGUUUAGCAGUUAAAUUAGUUCUUUUUUCAAAGCAAGGAAUGUCAUAAAAUCUUGAACUUUUAAAUAAUAAGUAAAAAAGAUAAAACAUUUAAUAUCAAAUCGAAAGACUACAAUAUAUGCAAAUAUGCAUGGGUCUCGUAGUCGUAAACGUUAGUACUUUUGGGUCAAUAUGCAUGGGUCGUUAGUAUACGUUAGAUUAAAUCCAAAUGUAAACCUAAGCAAAAUAAAACUUCAUAAAUUACGUUUUCUUUGGUUUAGACAAUUCUUUUUUUUUUUUUGAAAAUUCAUGUAAUUAGUGUAGGGGACCAAUAUGUGUAGAAAAUUGACUAUCCGACACAAAGAUUUUGCUUUCGACGUGACGAAUAAUGUAUUUUUCUCUAUGGAUUUUUUUUUGUGGGGAGUAAAUACAGAGUCUAUUAUUGUGUAUAUAAAGAAAUGACCAUGGAAGCAUAUUACUCAUCACCAAUUUCCCUUUUCUUUUUGCUCUUUCAGUUUUUGAUAUUCAAGAAAGUUAAAUAAGCUUAAAGAAGAAUGAAAGGCUAUUGGAACUUAACGAGUACCAUUUCUCUUACUCUUUCUAUACUUUUUUUAUUCGGCUACAGUUAUGAGGACGUGUCUGCGGUUCCAACUACGCACUUGUGUCGUCCAGAUCAAAGGGAUGCACUUCUUCAGUUCAAGAACGAGUUUGAGGUUCUAAACUCUUCCUUUGCUUAUGAUUGUUAUUUAGAUGAUUAUAUAGUAAAGCGUCAUCCAAAAACGGAAUCAUGGCGGAAUAACAGCGACUGUUGUACUUGGGAGGGUAUCACGUGCAACGUCAAGUCCGGUGAAGUGAUCGAGCUAGACCUUAGUUGCAGCUACCUAGGUGGCAGGUUUCAUUCCAAUAGCAGUCUUCAAAACCUUCAUUCUCUCACCACCCUAGACCUUUCAAGUAAUCGUUUUAGUGGUCAAAUCAUGUCUUCUAUCAGAAACCUUUCUCAUAUCACCUCUCUCGACCUUUCAGAAAAUGUUUUCAGCGAGUUCAUUCUUUCUUCGAUUGUAGACCUUUCGUAUCUCACCUAUCUCGAUCUUUCAUGGAACUUUCUUUCUGGUCAGAUUCCAUCUUCGAUUGGAAAUCUUUCUCAUCUCACUUCUCUUGACCUUUCUGGGAACAAUAUUGUUGGUGAAAUCCCAUCUUCUUUUGGCAAUCUAAACCAUCUGACCAGCUUAGAUGUUGCUGUAAAUAGGCUCAAUGGAAGCUUUCCCAUUGCACUACUAAAUUUGACGAAGUUGUCAUCUUUAGAACUCUAUUACAAUCAGUUCACAGGAACAAUUCCUCAUAACAUCACUUCACUAUCCAAAUUGACGACCUUUUAUGCAAGUAACAAUGCUUUCACUGGAACCCUGCCUUCUUCUCUCUUCACCAUUCCUUCUAUUGAUUACGUUAAUUUGUCUGAUAACCAACUCAACGGUAAUCUUGAGCUUGGGAAUAUAUCUUCACCACCUAAGCUACGAGUGUUAGUCGUUGGCAAUAACAAGUUGAGAGGGCUGAUUCCGGGCACGAUAUCUAAAUUUACCAACCUUGUCAGACUUGACCUUUCCCGUUACACAACACAAGGUCAAGUUGACUUUAGUAUCUUCUCACAUCUCAAGUGGCUCAAACUUCUUGAUCUAUCCGAUUUGAACGCGACCACUACGAUUGACAUGAAUGAUUUCUUGUCAUAUUUUAAGAGGCUCGGUGUGUUGGAUCUCUCAGGCAACCAUGUUUCAGCCACAAACAAGAGUCCAAUUUCAGAUCCCUCUUCUUUGUAUCAGUUGUACUUGUCAGGCUGCGGUAUCACCGAGCUCCCGGAGUUUGUAAGAUUGCAAAAUAUGGAGAAGCUAGACAUUUCUAACAAUAAAAUCAAAGGACAAGUGCCUGGCUGGUUAUGGAAGAUACCAAAGCUGAUUUACCUGAAUCUUUCCAACAACACCUUCACUGGCUUCGAAAACUCAACGAAACAUGGGCUAUCUUUAAUGGCCUUGUUAGCCUCCAACAACAAUUUCACGGGAAAGAUUCCCUCUUUAAUAUGUGAUUUGCGCUUUGUAUUCAUUCUUGAUUUAUCAAACAACAACUUCAAUGGUUCAAUCCCUCGUUGUCUGGGAAAUCUCAACUAUACUCUUACAGAUCUAAACCUUGGUCAAAAUCAUCUUCAUGGAGGUCUUCCGGAGAAUAUAUUUGGAAACUUAAGAGCGCUUGACGUCGGUCAUAACCAACUUACGGGAAAGCUUCCAAGAUCUUUGAUCCGGUUCUCUAGUCUUGAAGUUCUGAACGUGGAAAGCAACUUCUUCAAUGAUACGUUUCCAUUUUGGUUGAGUUUUCUACCAGAGUUAAAAAUUCUUGUGUUACGCUCCAAUGCCUUCUAUGGAACGAUACAUCAUACUUCGUUCCCUAAAUUGCAAAUCAUCGACAUAUCGCACAAUCACUUCAAUGGAGCUUUGCCUUCACACUACUUUGUGAAGUGGAGUGCUAUGUCAUCACUUGGGUCAAUUUAUUAUCAGCCUGAUGAAAUGUACAUGGGAGAUUCAUAUUACCAUGAUUCAGUGGUGUUGAUGAAUAAAGGUAUAGAGAUGGAGCUUGUACGUAUCCUAAAGAUCUACACAGCACUCGACUUUUCAGGGAACAAAUUUGAAGGAGAGAUCCCAAGGUCCAUUGGUCUAUUAAAAGAGCUUCUUGUGCUCAACUUGUCGAACAAUGCUUUCACUGGCCACAUCCCUUCAUCUAUGGGAAACUUGACAGCUCUUGAGUCAUUGGACGUUUCCCAAAACCAGCUUUCAGGAGAAAUUCCGCAAGAGCUAGGGGAACUCUCAUUCCUUUCGUACAUGAACUUCUCUCAUAACAAGCUUACAGGUCUAGUACCAGGAGGCACUCAGUUUCGAAGGCUGAACUGCACUUCUUUUGAGGAUAAUCCGGAACUUUCUGGCCCUUCUCUUGACGAAAUUUGCAGAGAUAUUCACACGCCAACACCGCAUGAACCGUCGGAAGAAGAAGAAGAAGAAGAGGAAGAGGUGUUGAGUUGGAAAGCAGCUGUAAUAGGAUUCAUACCUGGUAUUGCCUUUGGAUGGGUGAUUGGAUAUAUACUUUUUUCCUACAAACCACAGUGGUUCUUCAUGAACCCUUUUGCCCGAAACAAGCGCAGAAUCAGCAGCACCACUACUCAUUAAAGUUCUUUGUUGGCAGUUUUUUUUUACGUUUUAUUAAACUUCUUUGUUUCUCUGUAAUUGAACAACUAUGUUUCUUAAGCUGAAAGUUACAAGCACAGUCAAAGAUGUGUCGUUUUUUCCCCUCUUGUGAAUCUAAACAUCAACUGUUUAGACGUGAGACGAGCAAUGAACAGAUGAUCCACAUCAACGUUAUAAUCAACACAGGGCUUUAGAAAAGGAUCAAUACUAUUAAAAAGGAAAAAGUUUUAAAAAAUCUACUUAAAAAAAAUUGUUGCAUCCUUUCAUUUUUAGUCCAACCUAUAAUAUAUAACCAAAUAUUAUAAUAACAUUUAUUAUAACAACCAAAUAAGAUUCUAGCGAAUAUCUUUCUCUAAUAGUUUUGGUAAUAUAUUAAUUCUCUAAUUGUUAGAUAUUUGUUCAUUAUUUAGAAAAUCUGUGUGACAUAUCUGGUCUAUUAAAAAUAUGUAUCACUAGAUAUUACGGAUUACGGUUACCAAAUAACAUUUGAAAAGAGUUUUUGUAUAUAUGUCGAUAUGUUACAUUGCAUUCAAAUAUAUAGGUUACUUUCGUGGUUUUCAAAUGAAUCAGUCCAAAUCUUAUAGUUUUCUAGAUUCCCUAAUAAUAUAAUUGUACAAUAUUAUACUAUAUUUUCUUAUAUCACACAUUAGUAUAUUAAAUAUAUAUUUACUUAUCCCAUGCGGUAAUAUAGUUAAAGGGAUAAUGAUGUAUUCCUAUAUACUAGGGACUUAGGUUUAUCUACACGUUCAUAGAUUCUAUAUUCUCGUUGUAUAAGUACCAAGAUUGGUUGAUGAAUAAACACAGACUUUACAUUAUAUUUUAUGGUAUCAGAGCUAAGAUUUCAUAACUUAUUUUUUUUUUUCAAUACUAUUGAUCUUCUUCUAUCUUCUACUACUACGGUUCAUCAACCAUAAUGGCUGAGCACGACACGCCAGCUGUUUCUACAACUACGCAGGCGACUUCCAGAGAUUCGUCACCAUACUAUCUACACCCAUCAGACAAUCCUGGAGCCCUUAUUACUUCUGUUCUACUUAAACAAGACAACUAUACUGAAUGGGCUACAGAACUCCGAAAUUCUCUCCAAGCGAAACAGAAAACAUGUUUUAUUGAUGCUACCAUUCCAAAACCUACAGACGGACCAGACUUAUCGCGAUGGCUUGCAGCAAAUUCUAUGAUUGUCGGAUGGAUUCGCACUUCAAUCGAUUCAAAACUCAGAUCAACAGUUACUCAUGUGCCUGAAGCACACAAGCUUUGGGAAUCUCUGCGUUUUCGUUUUUCUGUCAAAAACGGGACCCGUCUACAUCAGCUACAAGAUGAAAUAACAAAUUGCAAGCAAGAUGGACAGACGGUCCUUGACUACUAUGGUCGGUUAACUAAACUCUGGGAAGAGUUGCAGAAUAUGAAGACAACUCGACCUUGUACGUGUGCUGCUGCGACUGAUAUUGAAAAAGAAAGAGAAGACGCGAAAGUUCAUAAAUUCUUGUUUGGUCUAGACGACUCGCGAUUCUCUGCCAUCCGUUCUCGCAUCACCGACGAAGAUCCAUUACCGGAUCUCAAUAUUGUUUACUCAAGGGUGAUUCGUGAGGAGCAAAACAUGGCAACUACCCGAUCUAAAGAGCAACGAACCGAAGCUUUAGGGUUCUCAGUUCAAACCGAGAAUUCCAAAGAGUUGGUUUCUGCCAAAACUGAUACUACUCCACGACCAAGAGAUCCUUCUCGAACUUGUACCCAUUGUGGUCGUACAGGUCACGAUAUAACAGAGUGCUUCUUGGUCCAUGGCUUUCCUGACUGGUACACUGAACAACAACAACAACGCAAUGGUUCAUCAUCAUAUCGAGGUGGACGUGGUGGUCGUUCUAACAACAAUCGUGGGCGUGGCCGCGGAAGAGCUAAUGCUGCACAAAGCAAUUCUCACCAACAAUCGGAUCAGAUUGCAUCUCUGAUCGCACUUCUCCAAAACCAACAAAGCAAUUUAUCAUCGGAACGCUUGUCGGGUAAAACAAUGCUUACUGACGUUAUUAUUGAUACAGGGGCAUCACACCAUAUGACGGGUGAUAUAUCAUUAUUACAUGAUGUCUAUGAUAUCCCAUCAUCAUCGGUUACAUUUCCUAAUGGACGUGAUUCUCUUGCUACGAAGCAAGGAUCUCUGCGUCUCAGCAAGGAUUAUGUGCUUCACGAUGUUCUCUGUGUCCCCGAUUUCUAUUGCACACUCAUAUCAGUUUCGAAACUUUUAAAACAAACUGGAUGCAUAGCAAUAUUUACUGAUACAUUGUGUGUUUUACAGGACCGUUUUUCGAGGACUCUGAUUGGAGCAGGUGAAGAACGUGAGGGGGUGUACUAUUUUACGGGGGUUAAGGUUGCACGAAUUCAUGGAGCUUCUAAGACAAAAUCUUCUUCUUCAACUCUGUGGCAUCGUCGACUUGGCCAUCCAUCCUACAAAGCUUUGUCUUCUUUACCGGUGUUUCAGAAUUUUAAAAUAGAUUUUAGUGAGUCUAAAUGUGAUAUUUGUUUCAAAGCAAAACAGACUCGCCAAGUGUUUCCCGAUAGUCUUAAUAAAGCUGUUUUUCCUUUUGCAUUAAUCCACUGCGAUGUUUGGGGACCUUAUAGAACACCAGCCUCUUGUGGGGCUGUAUACUUUCUUACCAUAGUGGAUGAUUACUCGCGAGCUGUAUGGACUUAUUUGAUGCUUGAAAAAUCAGAAGUCUCUUCUCUUAUACGCAACUUUUGUGCGAUGAGUGAACGCCAGUUUGGACAUAAAGUACAGACCAUACGGACAGAUAAUGGAACGGAAUUCAUGACACUCGGACCUUACUUUCGCGAGACCGGUAUCAUUCAUCAGACAUCUUGUACCUAUACACCCCAACAAAACGGUAGAGUGGAAAGGAAACACAGACACAUAUUGAAUGUGGCUCGUGCCUGCAUGUUCCAGUCACGAUUACCUAUUGAAUUUUGGGGAGAGAGCAUCUUGGCUGCGGCUCACGUCAUUAACCGAACACCUACUAACAUUCUUAAUGGUAAAACGCCUUAUGAAGUUCUUCAUGGUCGACCACCUAUCUAUGAGCAGUUAAGAGUGUUUGGUUGCCUCUGUUACGCUCACCUAAGACCUCGUGACAGAGACAAAUUUGCUACAAGAAGUCGAAAAUGCAUAUUCGUAGGUUACCCCUUUGGCAAGAAAGCUUGGCGCUUGUAUGAUGUCGAAACUAAUGAGUUUAUUGUUAGCCGGGAUGUGGUGUUUUUCGAGGAUCAGUUUCCAGGUAUUGAAGACUUACCUUCGGUUACAGUACCAGUUUCACAAACUGCUCUUCCUAUUGACGACUGGUUGAUAAAUUUUGAAACUCCAGUUCUCUCUACUACACCUGAACCUUCUCCUACUAUACCCACGACUUCCUCUCCUACUCACAAUACUACUACUACACCUGAUGUUUCUUCUCCGCCUUUACCAUCUACACCUACUGCCCCGUCUACAAGCAAUUCCCCACCAGAUACUGUUGUCCAACCAACUCCUAACCCUACUUCUGCAUCUCCACUACCGUCUCCAUCUUCACCAAUACGUGAUCAUGACAUAUCGGGAUCUUCUCCUGGCCUACUUGAUCUUCUUGGACGUGGUCAUCGAACAAAGAAACCAUCGGUCUUAUUGAAGAAUUUUCUCACGAACUCUGCAACUACAAACACCCCUCACGUUCUCAACAAGCAAUAUCAGAGUUCUCCAUCAACGGUCUCAGGUAAGACACUGUAUCCCAUUGCUGAUUACUCAUCUACCUCUGCUUUUACUGCUAACCACCAGGCGUUUCUAGCAAAAAUUACUACAGAUUUUGUUCCAAAGAAUUAUAAAGAAGCCGUCAAUGAUCCAAGGUUCAACGGUGCAAUGAAAACAGAGGUAACAGCUUUAGAAGCUAACCAUACUUGGGACAUUACAGCUCUCCCUCCUGGCAAGAAGGCAAUCGGGUGUGGCUGGAUUUAUACAAACAAGUAUAAAGCAGAUGGUACUCUUGAACGACCAAAAGCUCGCCUGGUUGCUCGUGGUAAUAGACAAAAAGAGGGACUUGAUUACAAAGAUACAUUCGCCCCUGUGGCAAAGAUGAAUACGGUUCGGUUUCUUCUGAAAGUUGCGGCUGCUAAGCGAUGGGAGAUCCACCAAAUGGAUGUCCACAACGCGUUUCUACAUGGAGAUCUCGAAGAAGAAAUAUAUAUGGAACUUCCUCCUGGUUUUAAAUCUGAUGAUCCAUCCAAAGUUUGUCGUCUUCGGAAGUCUUUGUAUGGUCUUAAACAAUCUCCUCGCUGCUGGUUUGCGAAACUUAGUCAAGCUCUCAAGUCGUUUGGCUUUGUUCAAAGCUACGAGGAUUACUCUCUGUUCUCAUUCAUGGAAGCUAACAUAUGUCUCCAUAUUCUGGUUUAUGUGGAUGAUUUUAUAAUUGCUGGCAAUGACGCUGCUACUAUUCAAAGAUUCAAGGAUUACUUACAUCGAUGCUUCAAAAUGAAAGACUUAGGCAAACUUAAAUAUUUUUUGGGUUUGGAAAUUGCUAGAGGACCUGAAGGGAUAUUUGUCUCUCAGAGGAAGUAUGCACUCGAUAUCAUAACCGAGUGUGGCUUACUUGGAGCGAAACCAGCGCCAGUCCCAACUGAACUCAACCACAAACUUGCACUCGCCAAGGGCAUGAGACUUCAGGAUCCGGGCAAGUAUCGUCGUCUUGUUGGACGAUUGAUAUAUCUUACUUUCACACGUCCGGAGCUAAGCUACAUUGUUCACAUUCUAUCACAAUUUAUGCAUAAACCGCUUGAAGAUCACUGGGCAGCUGCGUUACGAGUCAUCCGCUAUCUUAAAGGCUGUCCAGACCAAGGUAUCAUGCUGUCUUCCGACGCAAACCUUACUCUUACCGCAUACUCUGACUCGGAUUGGUCUGCGUGUCCUAUAACACGUCGUUCUCUAAGUGCCUACGUUGUUCUUCUUGGUGAUUCUCUUGUUUCGUGGAAAACAAAGAAGCAACGGACAGUGUCUAGAUCAUCAGCUGAAGCUGAGUAUAGAUCAAUGGCAGAUACUACAUGUGAGUUAAAAUGGCUCAAACGACUUCUUCUCCAGUUCGGCUUCUUUCAUCCUCAACCCAUGAGACUUUUCUGUGACAGUCAAUCUGCGCUCCAUAUUGCUAAGAAUCCUGUGUUCCAUGAACGUACCAAACAUGUCGAAAAUGAUUGUCACUUUGUUCGAGAUGCUGUGCGUGACAAGCUUAUUACUACUGAACACAUUACAACGAGGAAUCAGCCUGCGGACUUACUUACCAAAGCCUUGCCCACUCCGACAUUUCAUCAUUUGUUGUCCAAGUUGGGAAUUCGAGAUAUGUCAUUACCAACUUGAAGGGGGGUAAAGGGAUAAUGAUGUAUUCCUAUAUACUAGGGACUUAGGUUUAUCUACACGUUCAUAGAUUCUAUAUUCUCGUUGUAUAAGUACCAAGAUUGGUUGAUGAAUAAACACAGACUUUACAUUAUAUUUUAAUAGUACUCAUUUUCAAACUGUACUAUUAAUCAAUUUUCACUGUUUGGCUUCUUAAAAUAUUGGCUAGGUAAUUUAAAAUAUAUGAAUAGUAGCCAAUCAAAAACUUUAAGUUCUAAACUAAUAUUUGAUUGUUUAAACUUUUACUAAACUAUCCUAGAUUUUUUCCAAUUCUAAUAAUAAUAAUAAUAAUAAUAAUAAUAAUAAUAAUAAUAGAAAAGAGAGUAGGCUUAGGCAUUCGAUUUUUAGGUCAGGUACGGAUCAGUUUCUUUCGCGCAUAGGUCUUUCGGAUCCUAGACAUUUAGACCUAAGUAGGUAUUUGAAUUUUUUUUUUGUUUUGGGUUGGUGUCAGUUCUUCUUGUGUUUGGAUCAAUAAUUAAGAUACAUGUAAACUACAUAUAAUUUUUGGAUACCUAAUGAGUUCAGAUCGGUUCAGAUAUUUAGGAUCUAAAAAAGAUUCGAAGUACCAAAAACUUUAAAAAUACAUGAAACACAAAAAUAUUCAAAAGUAUUUAAAUACUCAAAAUGAUGUGAAUAUAUUAUUCAUUAAUAUAAUUGUUUUUGUACUGUUUUUAUCUUGUGCAGUUUUGAAAGUGCAAUAUGUAUUAUACUAAUUUAUGUCAUUAAUUUAAAUGACUAACAAAUGAUUGAAAAAAAAAAAUUUCAUAUGAACAUGUUUAUUUUCAAUCUGUUCAUCAUCAAAUGUAAUGGCAUGUAUAAAUGUUAAUUGUAUAACGUGAUGUAUCAUAGAUGAAAGAUUGCAAAAAAAAAAAAAUUAACAUCGAAAACUCAUUGCAAAUAAUCUAAGAGUUUUGGAGUAAUACAACCAAACAAUUAAACUCUAAAUCACCAAUAUACAACAUAAUAAACCUCAAUAAAACAGAGAUAAUGUAGAAAAAUACAGAUUUAAAAUGACAAUGACAAUGACAAAGAUGAUACAUUACCAUUUUUGGUUCAAUUAUUAAAUGAAACAUACUUUUUAUGAAUCAGACUUAGUAUAGGUUAUUGAGUCAAAUAUUUAAAUCAUACAAAUAAUUCAAUAUCACAUAUAUGUAUGGCCAAAACCUAUAUAUAGGUUAACAUAGAUGUAUGUCAAAAAUCUAAAAUACAAGUAUACCAUCAAUGAAAUAUCUAAGUUAGUGUUAAAUUAAGUGUCAUUUUUCGUUAAUAUAACUUAAACUUAAUAAGAAAAAUACCACUAACAAUUUUUUUUUGACAACAAUACCACUAACAAUUUAAAACAAUAAAUUAAAUUAUUGCAUGUGAACUAUAAAAUUUUAUAUCACUAAUCAUGUAAAACAAAUAUGUAUAUGUUAUGAACCAGAUUGUGGAUGGUUCAUAACCAAGAGAUUAUGAUUUGUAAUCUUUCCAUUUAUUUAUGACGGUGUAAUCUUCUAUAUAAGAAACCUCUAUGUUAUGAAUAAAGAUAGAUUUUUCCAUUACUUUUAUAACACGUUAUCAGCACGAAACUCUAAAUCUCUAAGCUAAUACCCAAAUAGGAAAACCCUAAAACCCUAACCCUAGCCGGUGAUCCGACGAACCCUAAACCCCGAUCGCGUCUCUUGUUCCCGCAUCUGUUCCAGCUCGCGUCCCCGAUCAACUUCAGCCCAAGGCAUUCAUGAUCCUAGCUCAGACGUUCGCGGCCCGAGAGCAGCUCCAGCACGCGACAUCUUCCUCGUUCGCUACAACAUCAGACAGCUCGCGUCCCGUUCGUGCCCAGCUCGUGGCUCAACUCCUUUGGUGGUCCGAUUCAACAAUCAUCUAAGGUUAAAAGGUAUUUCAAAACCUAAGAACCCAUAAUCGAACAUGGAUUGAUUGAUAAAAAAUGAAACCCUAAAACCCUAAUCUUUAUGAAUCAAAACCAUAGGGUAAUAGAUCAAAAAUCCUAAUUGAGUAAUUUGAGGUUUAAAUCCGUGUGAGUUAGGAUUGAUAGUUUUUAUAACCUGAUUGAAUGAUUUGAGGUUUAAUAUUGCAUGUUAGAAUCUGUUAUAAUAUAAACCCUAAUUCGAAUUGAUAAACCCUAAAAUAGAAUCUGUGUAUUGCAUAAUCCGAAUUGAAUGUUUUGAGGUUUCAUAUUAUACUAGGUUGAUAGUUUCAUGAUAUAAUCAAUUGUUCUGAGGUUUAAUAUUAUUUGCUAGAAGCUGAUUGAUUGAUAAAACCCUAAUUUCGAUUGAAACCCUAAACCCUAAUUUGCGUAUUCCUAAAAUCAGAUUGCUUGAUUCCAUCUUGCUAAUAUCAGCCUUGAAACGGAUAAAUAUCAGCCUUGAAACGGAUUAAUAAAAUUGAUAGAAUCAGCCUUGAAACUGAUUGUUUUGGUUUUUCAUGCUUCAAACCCUAUUUUUGGAUCGAAACCCUAAAUUGUGUAAUGCUUAAAUCCGUUUGAUUACUUUUGAUUAUUGAUCCAAUUGCUACUCUUGAUAAAACCUAAUUGAAUCUGAUUGUUAGUCUAGCUAAAUCUCAUACCUGAAACUGAUUGAUUAAUUGUUAAAUCUUGAUUGAAUGUUUUAAUAUUACCCUUGCACAUAUAGAAUCCGAUUGCUAAGAUUGAGUGCAUCAUAUCUACUUGGCCGUGUGGCCAGUUUGCAUCAUAUCUACUUGGCUGAUUGAUUACGCGUUUAAGCACACACCAAUUAACCUAAUGUGCCAACAAUACCACAAUCGAAUGGUAUGUCAUUGUAGCAUUUUAGGAUCGAAUCCACAGAGAACUAGAGACUUAUAACACCAAGAAUACACAAACCUUCCUAAUCUAAGCAAACAAGAAGAUAGAUGAUUUGUAACAAACUAAUAUCCUAGAAAUAUAAACAAGGUGAUCUCAGAUCCAAUCAAGAAAUAAGUGCAAGAAUUCAAUCAAAUACUAAGGAUGGAUCCAUGGUAAGGAUAAUUGAUAUAAAAUGAUCAAGGUUCAAUCUAAAGGUGGCAACAUUCAAUCAAUCUAUCAACCUUAGGCUUAGACACAAUCCUAAACAAACUCUAUCUCUAGAUGGAUGUUCAUUCACUAAGAUAACUCAAGCAUCAAAUCUCUUUGGUUGAAUAUUAUCUAAGCAAUCAUUAAAAUCAAGUCUAUUAGCCAUUUUAACACCUUUAACAACAAAUCUCUUUGGUAAAGAAUGUUAAAAGCUUAGGAGAGUUGGUUCAGACAUUUCAUCAANNNNNNNNNNNNUGUUUCUUGCCCACUCUUUUGAUAAUAAGAAAGCAAAUAUUAUACAGAAAAGUAGGAAAAAUCGUGCAAAGGAAAGGUGGGUGGAAGAAAGUGGGAAGUUGGUUAAUCCCAUCAACUUUCCAGUGGUCCCCGGCAAGGGUUGAUACACCUGUAGUAAAUCGAUUAUAACUUAUCCAAUACAGCUCCAAAUGACUUGAAACCACUUCCAUUGGAAAGCUAACUCAAUUUCCAGUGUCUCCACAAAUUUUGAGCUUCAGAAAAGAUCUUUAAGGCUUUCAUCCGUGUUCAUCUUUCACUCUCCGGAUUCGGGAGCGACCUCGCUGUGUCGCUGCGAGAGGUCGCUCCGGAUUCGUUGUCUCCGGGUGAUCAAUACGCGAGCGACUCUUCCCUGUCGCUCUAGUAAGGUCGCUCUGAUAGGGAGAUCAUAGCGACGUCAAGGUGUCGCUCCGGACUGGUCGCUCCGGGCGAUCAAUACGCGAGCGACUCUUCCCUGUCGCUCUAGUAAGGUCGCUCUGAUAGGGAGAUCAGAGCGACGUCAAGGUGUCGCUCCGGACUGGUCGCUCCCAUGCCUUGCUCGCCGAAUGACCACUCUAAACACUACUUUUUGACUCCAAUUGCACUCAAAAUCCCACCAAUGGUCCUCUAAUUCAUCCAUGGUGCUCUCCAACACCUGAUAUGUACAAAUGCAAUGAUAUGCAACCUAAAUGUGCCUAAAUGAUGCUCUAAAUGACCAAACCAUGCAAGAAUAAGAAGUUAAAAACAUGUAAAUUCACAAGAUAUCACUGUGUGGCCAGUUUGCAUCGUAUAUCAUCAUGACCAACAUGUUUAUGUUAUACGCAUGAUCUGAUUAUUAUCACCUUUGCAUGAUCUGAUUGUUUUAAAUUAAGGUUCCAUAAUUCCACUCAUGUACAUAUAGAAUCAGUAUGCUAGGUUUGCAUUAUAACCAUAUGACCACAUAUUGAUCAAAAAAAAAACAUAUGGCCACAUGAAAACAUAUAGAAAUUGCUUGUUUUGUCGAUACCCUUGCUUGAUAAAUCUGUGUGACUUAUUAUGCAUCAUAUAUCACUUUGGCCGUGUGGCCUUAUUGCAUUAUAUCACAUUUGGCCGUGUGGCUUGUUUGCUUAUUAGAAAUGUAUUGACUUGAUAGCAUGUCUUGUUUAUGGCCGUGUUUUAAAUAUUUUAUGAGAUCUAAAAUUGAUUGAUAUAUUAUUUGAGAUGUCGAAAAUCAACUUGGAUUUUGCUGCCCUAAAUCUCUCAUGAGAUAAUUAUUUGAAAUAGGCACUGGAUACUGAGUUUAUCUUAAAGUCAAAGGACUUGGUGAAUGAAUCACAAAAGGCGAUAAUGCCAAAUGAGAAAGAUUGAUACAUGGCAAUAUUAAUUAUUAGCCAUCAUCUUAAAAAGAGCCUCAAAGAUCAGUAUCUGACUAUAGAGAAUCAUCUAGACCUUUGGACAGAGUUAAAAAAAAUCGAGAAAUGAUCACCAAAGAACGGUGUUAUUACCAACGACCCUAUUUGAUUGGAGGAAUCCCAGAUUCCAGGACUAUAAGUCCGUGGAUGAGUCUAUUGCUAGCUGGGCAAAAUAAUGGAUUACUGAUGAGAAAAAGUGACUUGAGACCUCCUGGAUUAACCCUAUUACCUGAUUCCAAUAAGGCCGCAGAAAAAAAAAAAAAGGUAACCACGUCCAGAAUGAUAGACCACACGGUCAUAGCCGUGGAGGGUGGAAAGGACGUGGCCAUGGCCACUAUAACACAUUUGGCCGUGGUAAUCACUAUGGCAGAGGCCGUGGGUAUCAACCCAAUUUGAGCCAUGGUCAAGGCAGUGGCCGUGGUAUAUCCUUUAAACCACAAAGCUCGACCAAGUCAGUGUGCCAUAGAUGGAAUGGGAAACCAUUGGGCUAAGAUAUGAAGGACUCCCAAACAUUUUUGUGACCUCUAUCAAAGAGGGUCUGAAAGGGAAGAAUCCUGAAACACACUUGGUCUAUAAAGAUGGUGAAAAUAAUCUCGAACAUGAUCAAGAUGAUCUUAUGGAAUAUGAGACUUAUGAUUAUCUAAAAGAAUCAAGUUGAUAAUCUGAUUUCGACAUCAAACUUGUGUGAUUGCUUUGCUUGUAUGCUUUCUCUGAUUUUUAUCUCCUUGAAUUUAUUUCUAUUACAUUGUCUGCUUAGAUUAAAUGAAUGAAUGAUUUUUCUAUAUGAGUACACUGAAAAACGCCAAUAUAAGUACUAAAGCAGGUAUCGCCAGUCUGAAAGAAGACUAUGGCUAGGCUAAUAUAUUAUUGCCUAAGGGUAUGCAUCUAGAAAUCAGUGAUGCCUUAUAUUCACCCAGCUCUAAGAGCAAGAGCAGCCUAUUGAGUUUUAAAGAUAUAAGAAUGAAUGGUUUCCAUAUUGAAACAAUGGGCGAAGGAAACAAAGAGUUCCUUCAGAUAUAUGUAUAAAAUCGCCCAAGGCCAUAAUAAGUCCUAAAGACUAUACAUGCAUUCUCUACCGACCUAGACUAUGCAUAAAUCAGUAUGAUUGAGGCUAAAAGCCUGCGAAAAUAUACACUUUAUGGCACGACCGGAUUGGCCAUCCUGGUCCAAACAUGAUGCGAAAAUUGAUAUUCAAAAGGCACACAUUAAAAGAUAAGAAGAGUUAUCCCAAAGAAUCUCACGUGUGUAGCAUGUACACAAGGAAAACUCAUUAGGCCAUCACCAGUAAAACGGCUACGAGCCCCUUUUUCAUAAUAAAUACUAUAUGUAUAGAUACUACUGGUGAAUACAUGUCCCAAGCGUUUAAAUGAUUAUGGUAUGUCCAUAGGGGUAAGUGUGGACAAUUCUGUGAUACAUGUCCAUACCAAGAAAGGAUAUACCAUAACUUAUGAGGUCAAAACUCCCAUUCACAGCUUGGGCCACACGAAAUUUACAUGCACCUAAGCUAAUACGCAUCAUGCUAUUUAGUGAGCAUAGAUAUCCCGUAUCACAAUUAUUAACGGGUCAAAAGCCAGACAUACCCCAUCAUAAGACAUUUGGAUGUGCUGUCUAUGUACUAAUUGCUCCACCACAGAGAACUAAGAUGAGACCUCAAAAGGAGGAUGGGGAUAUAUGUUGGAUAUGAUUCUCCCACAAUAAUAAAAUACUUUGAGCCAACUAUGAGUGAUUAAAUUUGAGGCCAGGUACACGGAUUAUUUUAAGACUAGGAGGAGAGAAAAAUAAUAAAGCUGGUAAAAGAAUGGUAAAAGAAAUAGAAUGGAAUCAACCAUCAAUGUCUUGGCAAGAUCCUCGGACUAAAGAAUGUGAAAUAGACGUCUAAAGAUUAUACAUUUACAAAGCUAGCUAAUCAAAUGCCAGACACAUUUGCUGACCCGGAAAAGAAUGACUAAGUCAUAUAUAAACCAGCUUGUAAAGCACCAACGAAUUUGAUGUCGAAGAAGAGACACAGUCAAGUUGAUACAGAUUCUAGACAACGUAUGAACGUGGUGGACCAAUAGGUUCCAAAAGAUAAGAAUCCUCGGAAACAAAAGAAAUGUGCAGAGAAUGAUAAUCAAAAUCCAAAUCCGAGGUUACUAAGGAAACCAUCCCAGACAUGGAGAUAAGGCCGGCCGGCUCUAAGGUAGAGGUACCAAACAAUGUAGCUUGGGACGCCAAGCUGCAAAAUAUAAAGGUCCUGAUAAUAAUGAAUCUCAAUCGAUUAUAUCAAGUAUGGAACAUAAUGGAACCAAUAAGGAAUGUCGACAUAAGAUGAUUUAUUUGCAUACAAGGUAGCACUUGAAUUUAUGAAUAUAAGCGAAGAUCAUGAACCCACGUCAAUAUAAGAGUGCGCACUCGUAGAACAGAUUGGAUUUAAUGGAAACAUGGGGUUAAAUAGUUUAAAGAAUAAAGGUAUAUUUGGCCAUAUGAUUAAGACGCCAUAUGAUGUUAAAACCAGUGGAUAUAAAUGGGUCUUGUGAGAAAUAGAAAUAGUGAGAUAUAAAGCUGAUGUUGCACAAGGAUUCUCACAAAGACCAGUAAUAGAUUAGGAGGAGACAUACUCUUAUGUGGUGGAUGCAACUACUUUUAGAUUUCUCAUAAGUCUGGCUAUAUAAGAGAGAAAAUUAGACUUGCAGCAAGUUGAUGUAGUGACUGCAUAUUUAUAUGGUCCACUGGAUAAUGAAAGUACUAGAGGGUAUUGAGCUGAAAGUACAACAAGUUCUCGAGAACAAUAUUGAUAAUCAUCAAAGUAUAUGAUCUGAAUAUCCUAGGAACCUCUGGAUACAAUUUCCCAAACAGUUGAAUAUCUCAAGAAAGAGUUUGAGAUGAAAGAUCUUGGAAAACAAAGUUUUGUUUGGGAUUACAGCUUGAGUACAUUAACAAUGAAAUCCUUGUGCAUCAAAUAGUAUAUACAGAAAAGGGUACUCAAGAGAUUUAAUAUGGACCAGUCUCAACAUUUAUCUAGUACAUGGGCGUGAGAUCACUUGUUUUGGACACUGAUCCAUUCAGUCCAAAGGUGGAUGAUAAAGAAGUCCAUUUAGUCCUGAGAUGGACGAUGCAGAAGUCUUGUUUUAGACACUGAUCUGAUUGGUCUAUAAGAAGGACGAUGAAGAAACCUUUGAUUUUGAUUUAUUUUAUACUAACCAGCCCAAAGAGGGGUUAUUUGGUUUUGUUGAUUUGUUUUCAGACAUGUUAUGUUUUACACAUGGUGGUACACGCAUAUCACGGCAACAUCAUCCAAGAUUUCGUGUGUGUGUAUUUGAGGUUGAUGACUCAAUAUGUUCGAUCAGAUUGUGGCAUGGCCGAUGGUAAAGAAGAACCAACUAUCAUGUUCGAGGACGAAGCAUAUUCUGCCCAAGAUCUUCAUCACCCACGGAUUGCAAAAAAUUGGAGAAGUCCAAGGGACCUUCAGUAAUGUCCAAAUCAGGGGGAGUAAUGUGUGUUGUACUAUUUUUCCUUCACCAUGGUUUUGUCCCAAUUGGGUUUUCCUGGUGAGAUUUUAAUGAUGCAACAUUAAAGCACAUUACAAGCUCUAAAUGGUUAUGGCAUCCAAGGGAGAGUGUUAUGAACCAGAUUGUGGAUGGCUCAUAACCAAGAGAUUAUGAUUUGUAAUCUUUCCAUUUAUCUAUGACGGUGUAAUCUCUUAUAUAAGGAACCUCUAUGUUAUGAAUAAAGAUAGACUUUUCCAUUAUUACUUUUAUAACAGUAUACUUAUAAAAAUUGAAAUAAUUACCCACACGGUUGUGCGGGUAGAGAUCUAGUUUCUUAUUAAAUGUUUUGUUUUCUCCAUGUCCACACUCCCUUGUUUCUGAUUCAACCUUUGAUUGUUUGAUUAAAUAUGUAUAAUCUAAAUCAACAAUAACCAAAUAUAUAUAUAUACUCAACUAAAAUUUGGGUUUAACGAUCAUCGUCCAUUUUAUAAGAAAAUUCCUCUUGGAUCGAUCUUUUUAUAUUUUUCUUGAUUGACUUUUUAAUCGAAUCCAAGUCUUGCUUCUCUUUGUUUUGGUGUCCACGAUCUCGAAAAAGAAACAGCCAACUGAUUGGUCACUUUCACAGUCCCUCUGGUACGUUAUCCUUUGAUUUUUCAACAUUAUACUUAAAGCUCAAUACCAAAAUCUCAAAGAUAAGCCACUACAUGAUCAUGAUGUGUGUGACCUACGAGCUUGGACUCGAACCCACGAGCCAAUCAUGUAAGUAGCAAUGAAAAGAUCAAGCCAACACAAAUGAUGAAUAGGCCCAUGCCUUGCCCCCAUUCUGUUCCCUUCUUUAUUAAUCUACAGAAACAAAAUCUUCUUCAGAAGAAGAUGCGUGAGCUUUCAACACGAUAAAGAUUGAUGCAAAGUCAUAUAAGGAAACAGCCAAAUCAAUAGCUUGGUGGGUUUGGUCUUCCAAAAGUAAAUUAUGGAAGAACAUGAAUGUCUCUUAUGUACAUUGUCCUGGAAAGAGAGCUCUGAGACCUGAUUACGCAAAAGACUAAUUGCAGAUCACAAAAAAGGAGAAGAGAACGCUAUUUGGAACUGCAGGCAUUGAUACACAAACCAUAAUACAUUAAACACUUGACAAAAGUACAUGUUGAUAUGUCUGUCAGAUUACUACAAGAGUUUCUUUCACCAAUCUGCUUUGCUACCAAUGUACCCUAUGUAAGAGAGAUACUAUAAAGAUCUCCUCUCAACUAUAGUAUAUACACAUUCCUCUGUUUUAGGAAAUGUUAGUUAUUAUCUAACUUAGUCUCCAAGACUAAACUCUGUAUAUAAACCUCUAUUGUACAUUACGUUCAAGAUAUCAUAAUACAUUUCCUAUACCCUAAAUAAGAUAAGUAAACACACAAAAAAGAGCAUUGCUCUAACUUAAAACCUAGUGAGUAAGAAUAAUAACAGUUUUCUCCAAUUUCGAUGAUCUCUCAGAUCCAACCAUUGCUCCCUUGCUCAACCACAGUAUAGCUUCUCCACAAUCUAAUCCCUACAAAUUCUUAUCUGUACAGCAACAACAACAACGCACAAUUCACGUUUUCAGUAACUCAUUUGAGCAGAUGCUCAAAGUUAUGGUUCCAAAUCAACAAUCUGAGACCUCACAAGGUAACAUAGAGUUUCAAUCUUCAAAAUCACAUAAGAAUGAAAAUUCUAACCAUAUAUUCACAAUUGCUUGGCAGAAACAGAGACCAAGAAAGUUCCCAUCCUCUGCUUCUAUAACUCAAUCAUCAUCCUCUACUUCACUAAAACAAUCCACUACCAAUUAAAUUGGUAAAAACAGGGUGAAGCUAUCAAGAAAAUAUCAGACUACGUUGCACAGCUAAGAAGAAUCGGAAAGGGUCACUAAGAUCAUAUUUUAAAAGUAAGACUGCACUUUCUUGUGGAUGUGUUUAUACGUUAAUAACACCGUUUCUGGUGUGAAAAACUGCAGGAGUGUGGCAUUUUGAUCAAAUGCUUCUGAAUGAGGUUUAAGGAAGAAAGUUGGAGCUUUUGAUGACAUAUCUUUUCCUUGUGCUACGGCACUCUUCUAUGUUUAGUUUACAUAGACGUCUCUAAAGUUUGAUAUGGAUAAUGGAUUUUCACUUUUUCUGUUCUUGUGUUGUUUUAACUUUUAACUGAAUGCUUUGUGAGUAUGUUAAUAGUAUAAGUCGUAGUAGUCUGAGAAUAAAUGCAUAUCCAAUGCUUGUCCAUAAAAAGUUGGUUUAAUUUUGGGUGUCCAUAAAAGUCAGUGACGUGUUGUUUUUGACAUAGGAAUCGUAUUUGAACAAAGAUUGUCUCCUUGAGUAGCCUCACGAAUUCUAAAACAGAGCAAAAACUGGGUUCUGCAAUAAACAUAUUGAUUCACCGAGUUUGGUUACAUCUACAGACAAAACAAAAUUAUUAUUGGAGACGAUUUUCAGAAUUAAAUUAGUUAUUAGAAUUAGUUAGAACACAAGAUAUAUAUAGAAUAUCUCUAAUCUUGAAAGAUCUUAGUGUGCAUCAGACUCAUGGGUUUAGGUCUCACAAUCGACACAACUUCCAAUGAUGUAAUGCAUUUGAUGCAUAUCAGCAAAACCAUCGAUCCAUCUUUUGUUUUAUUUUUGUUAUAAGAGAGAAUAGCUACUGGCCAUAUAUUGAAGAAACAAGAACACGAUCGAGCAAAGUCUGGGGUUUUCCUUACCAUCUCGCCCUGAGGAAUACUAGUUGAAUAAUGUACUCACGAUGAUAUGGCUCGAUCAUAAGUAGAUUCACGAGAAAGAGUUGGUUCUUCUGUCAUGAAGCAUGUACUCACUAUUUAUUUGAUUUCAAGCAGGUUAAUAUUUUGUUCAUUUUGAUUGAUUCUUAGAAAAUAUUUGAUUUUUUUUUUGUCAUGUUUGCAUAUAUUUCUCAUUAUGAAAGUUAUGAGGAAUAAACCAAAAAUAAGACUUUUCUCCGUUGAUUUUUCUUGAAAACGUUGAUGUUUGUUUUUAUUCUUAUUUUUUAAAAAGAGAUUCUUUCUUAUUUUGAAAUCCCAUCAAAAUUAAACUAGUUUAGCAGUUAUCUCAAUUAGUUCUUUUUUUAAUUAAAGCAAGAGGAAUGUCAUAAAAUCCUGAAUUUUUAAAAAGAUAAAACAUUUACUAUCAAAUCGAAAGAUUACAAUAUAUGCAAAUGCAGGGGUCUCGUAAACGUUAGUUUUUAGGUCAAUAUGCAUGCGCGUCUUGUAAACGUUAAUUUAACUCCAAACAUACACCUAAGCAAAAUAAGACUUCGUAAAUUACGUCUUCUAUGGUGUGGACAGUUUUUUUUUUUUAAAAAUACUUGUAAUUAGUAAAGGGGACCAAUAUGCGCGGAAAUUUGACCUAAUAGUUUUCUCUCUGGCCCGAUAAUCGAGGUGCCGUCUCAACCGUUUCACUCCGACGCCGGUAGAGCCAUGGCUCGCCGGCGUCGGGUGCUUCAACCUCCGCGUCGUCCUCUUUCUUUUCGUAUCUGUUCAAGCUCAAGAUCCCGUGCUCUGUUCACCGUUCGUAUGACCCUUUCUUGGUCGAAGUUGUCUUCCAUUUCGUAUUUUUCCGGGGGUUCCCGACUACAGUUUUCACUCCCCUCCUCUACUCAACGCCAUCAACGCCAUAGCUCUGCUGGUCCGGCUAUUAUCUAACUUAGUCUCCAAGACUAAACUCUGUAUAUAAACCUCUAUUGUACAUUACGUUCAAGAUAUCAUAAUACAUUUCCUAUACCCUAAAUAAGAUAAGUAAACACACAAAAAAAAAGCAUUGCUCUAACUUGAAACCUAGUGAGUAAGAAUAAUAACAGUUGUCUCCAAUUUCGAUGAUCUCUCAGAUCCAACCAUUGCUCCCUUGCUCAACCACAGUAUAGCUUCUCCACAAUCUAAUCCCUACAAAUUCUUAUCUGUACAGCAACAACAACAAGGCACAAUUCACGUUUUCAGUAACUCAUUUGAGCAGAUGCUCAAAGUUAUGGUUCCAAAUCAACAAUCUGAGACCUCACAAGCUAACAUAGAGUUUCAAUCUUCAAAAUCACAUAAGAAUGAAAAUUCUAACCAUAUAUUCACAAUUGCUUAGCAGAAACAGAGACCAAGAAAGUUCCCAUCCUCUGCUUCUAUAACUCAAUCAUCAUCCUCUACUUCACUAAAACAAUCCACUACCAAUUAAAUUGGUAAAAACAGGGUGAAGCUAUCAAGAAAAUAUCAGACUACGUUGCACAGCUAAGAAGAAUCGGAAAGGGUCACUAAGAUCAUAUUUUAAAAGUAAGACUGCACUUUCUUGUGGAUGUGUUUAUACGUUAAUAACACCGUUUCUGGUGUGAAAAACUGCAGGAGUGUGGCAUUUUGAUCAAAUGCUUCUGAAUGAGGUUUAAGGAAGAAAGUUGGAGCUUUUGAUGACAUAUCUUUUCCUUGUGCUACGGCACUCUUCUAUGUUUAGUUUACAUAGACGUCUCUAAAGUUUGAUAUGGAUAAUGGAUUUUCACUUUUUCUGUUCUUGUGUUGUUUUAACUUUUAACUGAAUGCUUUGUGAGUAUGUUAAUAGUAUAAGUCGUAGUAGUCUGAGAAUAAAUGCAUAUCCAAUGCUUGUCCAUAAAAAGUUGGUUUAAUUUUGGGUGUCCAUAAAAGUCAGUGACGUGUUGUUUUUGACAUAGGAAUCGUAUUUGAACAAAGAUUGUCUCCUUGAGUAGCCUCACGAAUUCUAAAACAGAGCAAAAACUGGGUUCUGCAAUAAACAUAUUGAUUCACCGAGUUUGGUUACAUCUACAGACAAAACAAAAUUAUUAUUGGAGACGAUUUUCAGAAUUAAAUUAGUUAUUAGAAUUAGUUAGAACACAAGAUAUAUAUAGAAUAUCUCUAAUCUUGAAAGAUCUUAGUGUGCAUCAGACUCAUGGGUUUAGGUCUCACAAUCGACACAACUUCCAAUGAUGUAAUGCAUUUGAUGCAUAUCAGCAAAACCAUCGAUCCAUCUUUUGUUUUAUUUUUGUUAUAAGAGAGAAUAGCUACUGGCCAUAUAUUGAAGAAACAAGAACAGGAUCGAGCAAAGUCUGGGGUUUUCCUUACCAUCUCGCCCUGAGGAAUACUAGUUGAAUAAUGUACUCACGAUGAUAUGGCUCGAUCAUAAGUAGAUUCACGAGAAAGAGUUGGUUCUUCUGUCAUGAAGCAUGUACUCACUAUUUAUUUGAUUUCAAGCAGGUUAAUAUUUUGUUCAUUUUGAUUGAUUCUUAGAAAAUAUUUGAUUUUUUCUUUGUCAUGUUUGCAUAUAUUUCUCAUUAUGAAAGUUAUGAGGAAUAAACCAAAAAUAAGACUUUUCUCUGUUGAUUUUUUUUGAAAACGUUGAUGUUUGUUUUUAUUCUUAUUUUUUAAAAAGAGAUUCUUUCUUAUUUUGAAAUCCCAUCAAAAUUAAACUAGUUUAGCAGUUAUCUCAAUUAGUUCUUUUUUUAAUUAAAGCAAGAGGAAUGUCAUAAAAUCCUGAAUUUUUAAAAAGAUAAAACAUUUACUAUCAAAUCGAAAGAUUACAAUAUAUGCAAAUGCAGGGGUCUCGUAAACGUUAGUUUUUAGGUCAAUAUGCAUGCGUCUUGUAAACGUUAAUUUAACUCCAAACAUACACCUAAGCAAAAUAAGACUUCGUAAAUUACGUCUUCUAUGGUGUGGACAAUUUUUUUUAAAAAAAAUUCUUGUAAUUAGUAAAGGGGACCAAUAUGCGUGGAAAUUUGACCUAAUACUUUUCUGUUUCACUCCGACGCCGGUAGAGCCAUGGCUCGCCGGCGUCGGGCGUUUCAACCUCCGCGUCGUCCUCUUUCUUUUCGUAUCUGUUCAAGCUCAAGAUCCCGUGCUCUGUUCACUGUUCAUAUGACCCUUUCUUGGUCGAAGUUGUCUUCCAUUUCGUAUUUUUCCGGGGGCUCCCGACUACAGUUUUCACUCCCCUCCUCUACUCAACGCCAUCAACGCCAUAGCUCUGCUGGUCCGGCUUCCGUCAAGAAUCAGAUCUGUGAGGCUCAAUCUUCCUCUCCUCCCUACGUGUCUCCUCGGCUAGAAAGCCCCCUCCGACAUUCGUCUUCCAUACCACCACAAGUCCAACUUCAAGCUUCGGCUUCCGACGUCUACAAACCCGGUGUCCGUGGGGCUCCACAAUUAACUCGGAUUUUAGAUCUGGAAUUUUGUCAGUUGUCUCGGUUGUGCUCACCUUAUGUCUCCUCUCUAUCACCACUGUCGCUGGCCUUCCUACUCCUCUCACCGCUCCAUUGUCAUCAUCUCAGCCAUAUCAGCUAAACAUCGCCGCUUCUUUGCUCCGCCGUGAUUCCUCGCAGUUCAUCGGGUUCUUUGACCGAGGAAGGCUGAGUCAUUUUGUUCAUGAGAUGGGCUACUUUCAUUUUGCAGUGAGCUUGACAAGCCCAAUAAAGCUCCAAGGCUCCCAUCUCUUCCUAGCAGUUUCACAGCCCACUUUGAUGUGGGGUGGAUUCGUCUCCUUGACUAAUCUUCUAAAAAUGUUUGGCGGGUUCACUAGCGUUUUUACAGAGACAUAUAUACACACAAAGUUUCAUCUCUCUUGUUUGAAGAGUAGCCUUUCUUUCCAUUUACCGGUGGGUUCACCGGGACCAUCAUGUUCAUCCUUUGCUUCCUUUUUAAGGAGUACUUUCCCUCCAAUCUUGUGGAGGUGUUUGUCCAUAUCUAUAACCGUCUUGCUAUCUUGUGCAGCGGUCCGUUCGGGGCCUGAAAAUGCAGCGGGAUUCGUUUCGACGAGUUUCCGAGGUGCGGAUUGGAUGUCAACGCCACAAUUUAAUGUGACUAUUUCUCUGCUGUCCGACCAUGUCGUGAAAGCUACACUGACGCAUUCAAGCAUUGUCUUGAGUUCGUUGUCAUCUUCUUCUUUUGAAGACCUAUCCUUUUUAUCUUAUGUUGGUGUAGUUUAUGUUUUCAAUUAAAGCGGAUGGAUAAUUCCCUCUAUUAUUUGUAAUCAAGCAAGUUGAACUUAAUGAAAAAGUUGUGUUUCAAAAAAAAAAAGAUUUUGCUUUCGACGUGAUGAAUAUUGGAUUUAUCUCUGUGGGUAUUUUUUGUGUGGAAUAAAAACGAAGUCUAUUAUUGUGCUAUAAAGAGGUGGCCAUGGAAGCAUGUUACUCAUCACCAAUUUCCCUGUUCUUUUUUGCUCUUUCAUUUUAAAGUUAAAUAAGCUUAAAAGAAGAAUGAAAGGCUUUUGGAACAUAACGAGUACCAUUUCUCUUACUCUUUCCAUACUUUUCUUAUUCAGCUACAGUUAUGAGGACGUGUCUGCGGUUCCAACUAGGCACUUGUGUCGUCCGGAACAAAGGGAUGCACUUCCCCAAUUCAAGACCGAGUUCGAGGUUCUAAACUCUUCCUUUUCUUCUUAUAAUUGUUAUAUCAAUGAUGAUAUACUAGUGUCUUAUCGGAAGACGGACUCAUGGGCGAAUAACAGCGACUGCUGUAAUUGGGAGGGUGUCACGUGCGAUGCCAAAUCCGGUGAAGUGAUCGAGCUAGACCUUAGUUGCAGCAACCUACGUGGCGAGUUUCAUUCCAAUAGCAGUCUUCAAAGCCUUCAUUCUCUAAACACUCUAAACCUUUCACGUAAUGAUUUCAAUGGUCAAAUCAUGUCUUCAAUUGGAAACCUUUCUCAUAUCACCUCUCUCGACCUUUCACAAAAUUAUUUCAGCGAGUUCAUUCCUUCUUCGAUAGUAGACCUUUCUCAUCUCACCUUUCUCGAUCUUUCAUUUAAUAGCUUUUCUGGUCAGAUUCCAUCUUCGAUUGGAAAUCAUUCUCAUCUCACCAAUCUUGGCCUUUCUUAUAACCAGAUUUCUGGUCAGAUUCCAUCUUCUAUUGGAAAUCUUUAUAAGCUCACUCGUCUUGAUCUUUCUGAUAACAAUAUUGUUGGAGAAACCCCAUCUUCUUUUGGCAAUCUAAACCAGUUGACCAGCUUAAAUGUUGGUCUCAAUAGGCUCAAUGGAAGCUUUCCCAUUGCACUACUGAAUUUGACAAAGUUGUCAUCUUUGCUACUCUUAUGACAAUCAGUUCACAGGAACAAUUCCUCAUAACAUCACUUCACUAUCCAAAUUGACGACCUUUUAUGCAAGCGACAACGCUUUCACUGGGACCCUGCCUUCUUCUCUCUUCACCAUUCCUUCUAUGGAACGUGUUGAUUUGUCUGAUAACCAACUCAACGGUAAUCUUGAGCUUGGGAAUAUAUCUUCACCACCUAAGCUACGAGAGUUAACAAUAACAACUUGAGAGGGCCAAUCCCAGUCACGAUAUCAAAAUUUACCAACCUUGUCCGACUUGACCUUUCCCACUACAAGACACAAGGUCCAAUUGAUUUUAGUAUCUUCUCGCAUCUCAAGUGGCUGGAAGUUCUUGACCUAUCCUAUUUGAACACGACCACUACCAUUGACUUGAAUGAUAUCUUGUCGUAUUUUAAGAGGCUCAGUUACUUGCUUCUCUCAGGCAACCUUGUUUCAUUCAACCUUUGCUGCGUUAUUUGGAAUUGUCAGGCUGUGGUAUCACCGAGUUUCCAGAGUUUGCAAGAUCGCAAAAUAUGAGGAGUCUAGACAUUUCCAACAAUAAAAUCAAAGGACAAGUGCCUGGCUGGUUAUGGACACUACCAAAUCUGUAUCACCUGGAUCUUUCCAACAACACUUUCAUUGGCUUCGAAAAACCAACAACAGUUUUAGUUUCAAGGCUAUCCUUGCUUGCCUCCAACAACAAUUUUACGGGAAAGAUUCCCUCUUUCAUAUGUGAUUUGCGCAAUGUAGACACUCUUGAUUUAUCAAACAACAACUUCAGUGGUUUAAUCCCUAGUUGUCUGGGAAAUCUCAAGCCUACUCUUGAAUAUCUAAACCUUCGUCAGAAUCGUCUUCAUGGAGGUCUUCCAGAGAAUAUAUUUGGAAACUUAAGAACGCUUGACAUCGGUCAUAACCAACUGACGGGAAAGCUUCCAAGAUCUUUGAUCCGGUUCUCUAGUCUUGAAGUUCUGAACGUGGAAAGCAACAUUAUCAAUGGUACGUUUCCGUUUUGGUUGAGUUCUCUACCGGAACUCAAAGUUCUUGUGUUACGCUUUAAUGCCUUCCAUGGACCGAUACAUCAAACUUCGUUCCCUGAGUUGCAAAUCAUCGACAUAUCACACAAUCACUUCAAUGGAGCUUUGCCAUCAGACUUCUUUGUGAAGUGGAGUGCUAUGUCAUCACUUGGGACUGUUUAUUAUGAUCAGCAUGAUCAGCUGGAUGACAAGUACAUGGGAGGUUCCUAUUACCAUGAUUCAAUGGUGUUGAUGAAUAAAGGUAUAGAGAUGGAGUUUGUACGUAUCCUAAAGAUCUACACAGCACUCGACUUUUCAGGAAACAAAUUUGAAGGAGAGAUCCCAAGGUCCAUUGGCCUAUUAAAAGAGCUUCUUGUGCUCAACUUGUCUAACAAUGCUUUCUCUGGCCACAUCCCUUCAUCUAUGGGAAACCUGACGGCUCUUGAGUCACUGGACGUUUCCCAAAACCAGCUUUCAGGAGAAAUACCGCAAGAGCUAGGGGAACUCUCAUUCCUUUCCUACAUGAACUUCUCUCAUAACAAGCUUACAGG
rnacentral:lncRNA from 1 species